rnacentral:lncRNA from 1 species
UAGCGUCCUGCUCCGGCUGUGCGCGUGCUGCUGCGGUGGCAGAGUACGCCGUCGUCCGCGCAGGGGGGCAUUGCGGUUUCUGCGCGGUUCUACGGCUGGCGCGGCGCGGGCGAGCCCCGGUCCUGGCCGCGUCGGGGAAGUUGACCUUGGCCUUGCUGCCACGGAGGCGACGGGCGGCGACGUCGUAGGCCCGGGCGGCAUCAUCGGCCGUGUCGAACGUGCCGAGCCAGACGCGGGUGCCCUUGUGCGGGUCGCGGAUCUCCGCCGCCCACUUGCCCCACGGCCGCUGCCGGAUGCCAUGGAGGUGGCCGGUGCGCUUCUUCCUGCUCGCCGCAUGCGCCGCGCGGCCACCGUCGUAGGCUGCAAAAAGGAAUCUCAUCAGUCUUCCUCUUCCAUGGUACCAAGAACCAACGGCCGUGAACCUUGUACGUUUCAUGAUCGCACACUCAGAUGAAACUAUGAGAGUUAUAGCCUACCCGGACGUGGAGAGAAGGCAGGCUUGGAUGCAAAGACGACAUGGUCGUCGCCGCCGUCCUCCUCCGCCCGCAGGUCGAAGUGGUCAUCGAAGUCCUCGAAGGCGGCCUCGAAGACGUCGUCGUCGGCAUCUGGGGUGCUGCUGUGGCGGCUCUUGCUCACGCCGCCCUUCUUGGAGCUCGUGGGCGGGGCCCGGCCGCCCGCUGCCGCCUGCUUCGACGGACGGCCCGCCGACGGCGGGAUCAGCUGCGCUAGGAUGGCGCCGCCACACAUUGUUUUCUCUUCCUGUCUCGCGCUUUCUUCUCUCACGUCUUGUGUUGGUCACCGAGAGACGGAGCUGCGCCUACUUAUAAACGCAAGCUAGCUGACCAAGACGAUCGUGUGUGUCGUGUGGUUGGCAGGAGAAAAUUGGUUAUUUACCAUUUUCAAUACUCGGCUUCUCAAAAUUGCCACUCUUAAGAUUGGCUGCGUAAAAGUGCCACUCAGUUUGAUUGCACUUUGAUUAACAUGCCAUUUUCUCUUUUUUAUUGGUUUUCUUUUUCUUUUUCCAUUUCCUGGCACCUGAAGGGACCAAAAUACCCCUGGAUAAUUCAACCUUAUCUCACGCCUGUGUGGAUUGGUUGGGUCUGUGAGGUGUUUCGUUCUCCACCAAAGCCCGUCGCCGUAGCUCGCUGAUGCCAGUGCGAGGCAUCGCAGCUCGCCGCCCUAGCUUGCCAACGCCUGCACCAGCAACUGCAGUUCGCCACCACCCACCGUUGCUCACCCAAGCCUGUGCGCGACGGCGGAGCUCGCCGUUGGUGCUCGUCCACAUUUGCACGAGCCGUCGUAUAGCUUGCCGGCCAUGCCCGCGAGCAACCGCAGCUCAUCCGUGCAUGUGCGCUAGCGCAGCUCGUCGUGUGACAUGCUAGAGAGGUGAGGCAGGAACAUGCAGGUAACCUAGAUGUUCAAGUUUAUUAACGAAGGGAGUAUUCAACUUCCUCAAAUAACUAUAGCAUCAAUUUCGUAGAGAUCGUUCAUCCAAUUUCAAUUUUUAGCUUUCUUUUUGGAGUCAACUUCUUUGUUGGAGCUGUAGUGGACAUCCUCUGUAGUUGUUGUUGUUGCUUGUGAAGAUGUAUCCUCUCCCAACAAGAAAGCAAGGCGUCUGCAUGUAUGUGUGUUAUACAAUGAAAUGAACACGUUGCUUCUCAUUUUCAUAUUGUUGAACAUAUAUUCAGAAGAUUCGCUACAGUUUGCCUGAAUGUAAUGUGGUAUCAAUGACAUGUACAUAACACCACCAAGGUAGAACAAAUCAUCAAGUUGUAGGAGAACAUGACAUCAUUCUAAAUGAACCAUGCAGAAUAGAAUUUACAUAUUCUAAAAUUUCCCUUGUAUACUUCUACUAGUUGUCUCUGAUGUGCAGGUUAACACAAGUAAUGGCAUAUUCGAAGGUACAGAUAGAAGAAUACUGUGUAGAAGGAUUGAGUUCCAUUCCACUGCGAUACCUAGAGAUAGAUGACGCAGAGUGUCGAUAAGAGGCGCGUGGGCGCAUGGCGUCCAGGCAAUCUGUGACACGCGAUGUCCAGCCAAUCGGCAGCCCACUUCCAAGCAAUCGGCAAGCAGGAGCAGCCCUACAAUGUGCAGGUAGAAGAGCUGAUGGAUCAUGGGGGAGGACCAGAGGAGGGCUUGGCGAACUGUAUGCGGUGAUCUCGGCCGACGGCGGGCGCUCAACGGCGUUGUUUCAAGUUGGAUGCAAAAAACUAGUACAUGUGCAUAGGCUAGGGGUAUAUUGGUCCCUUCAGAUGUUGGGAAAUGGGAAAAGAAAAAGGAAAGCAUUGAAAAAGAGGAAAUGGCAUUGUAAUCAAAGUACACAUGGGUUGGAUGACAUUUUUACGAAACCAAUCUUGAGAGUGGCAAUUUUGAGAAGCCCAAUAUUAAAAGUGGCAAAUAGCCGAUUUUCUCGGUUGACAGGGAACCGGUACAUUGGACGACUCAACAACUGAGGUGGCAUCACAUGAUGCCAGGUGGCAGGAAGCCAGGAACACAACAGUCAGCUGCCGAAUGACACGGCACAACUACGUGGCAAGGAGGAACACACAAUUUGGCGCGUGAAUAGCUCAACUUUUUCCUGAUACAUGAACUUGUGCGAGCCACUUGGCUCAGCUCCGCAAAUGAUCGAGCCUAGACCCAGAAAGAAAUGGACGACCACUUGUAUUAGUUAGGCCUAACCUAAUUGAUAUCACUGAUUGAUUACUUGACCAAUGACGUCGAACCGGAACAGCAAUAAUCAAGGUAUUUUUUUAAUUGAAACGACAAUAAUCAAGUAUUACUUUUAGUAGGAUUAGUCGGCUAGCUAACCUUAAUUUCUCUAAGCAUGCAUCUCCUUUAAAAAAAAAUCAUCUUCUUCAUAACACACUUUCUCCUUGUCUCUAAUCAUGCAUGGGGUGCUUCAACAACAACAACACUCAUAAGCCUUGGGUUUUACUCUUUCUCAACAUUUUCUUGAUCCAAUGUAGAUUGACCUUGUGUAUAAAAUGUGUCAAACAUUAAUCAGCUAAUCCAUUUACUCACAUACACACACAAUGGGCACUGAACACCAGAGUCAUAGUCUUUUAGGAUUGGAAAUAUUCAUUGUAGACACCUCACCACUAAUAGGGACAUUAGUGAUAUUGUUGCCCACUAAAAUUAUAAGCAAUAGAAAUGAGACACAGAGCAUUAAAUAUGGGAUGCGACUGGCUUGGGCUAUAACCACUCUCCUAACCAUUUGGCACGAGGGCCUCGUCAGGGUUAGAAGCGCAUCUCGUCGUGUCACAAGAAUGGAUAUCGUUACAAGUACAUGUACUGAAAAGAAGAGAUAUAAAUAGAGGGUUGGCUUACACUCGCCACAAGCUACAUCAGAAUCACAUCAGUACAUUACAUAUUCAUCAAGAGUAAGAGAGGGUCCGACUACGGAUGAACACAAACGACAAAAGAAGAACGACGUUCAUCCUUGCUAUCCCAGGCUGUCGGCCUGGAACCCAUCCUAGAUCGAUGAAGAAGAAGAAGAAGCAACUCCAAAUGAACAAUCAACGCGCUCACGUCGAGUAACCUUUACCUGUACCUGCAACUGGUGUUGUAGUAAUCUGUGAGCCACAGGGGACUCAACAAUCUCAUUUCCAAAGGUAUCAAGACUAGCAAAGCUUAAUGGGUGAGGCAUGGUUAAGUGGUGAGGUUGCAACAGCGGCUAAGCAUAUAUUUGGUGGCUAACUUACGAGUACAAGAAAUAAGAGGGGGAAGAUCUAUGCAUAACGGACGUGAACUACUCAUGAUCAAAUGACUGAUCCUGAACACCUACCUACGUCAGACAUAACCCCACCGUGUCCUCGAUCGGAGUAAGAACUCACGAAGGAGACAGUCACGGUUACGCACACAGUUGGCAAGUUUUAAUUAAGUUAACUUCAAGUUAUCUUUAACCAGUGUUAAACAAAGUUUCCACGUUGCCACAUAACCGCGGGCACGGCUUUCCGAAAGAUUUAACCCUGCAGGGGUGCUCCAACUAGUCCAUCACAAAUUACCACAAGCCGCAUAGAAAUCCUCCAUCACGAAGCUCGCGAUCUCGUCGGAUUCCCUAGUGGAAAACCUCAACUCUGAGAUUACCCAAAGCAUCACCGGAAUCCCCAUGCACAAGAUAUCUCGUCAAAGGUAAAACUAAUCCAGCAAGGCCGCCCGAUGUGUCGACGAUCCCGAUAGGAGUCGCGUACCUCGUUCUCAGGACACGACGGAUGAGCUAGACGUCGGGAUCGCUAAACCUCUGGGUGACCAGAGGGGUGCCGGACAUCGCUCAGGUGGGACCAACACUCAUGAGGAGCACUGGCCCGGGGGUUGAUUAAAAUAGUCCGCGGGUGCCGGCGGGUCCCUAUGCAUUAUUAUUAGGUUAUUAGGCAAAUGUAGUACCAAAGUUGGGCCUUGCCAGACCAGCUUUAAUCUAAAACGAAUUAUCAAGGGGGUCCCCAUAACAACCCCGAUCGUGUUAGGAGCGCUCAUUUAUGGAACAUAACACCGGUAGCCGAAACUAAGGGGGCAAAGGUGGAACAAAACACUAGGCUAGAAAGGCCGAGCCUUCCACGUUUUACCAAGUAUAUAGUUGCAUUAAAUUAAAUAGCAUUUAAUAUGGUGAUAUAACAAGGAAUACAUGUAUUCACAUGGAAGCAUCUGCACCUGCAACUAGCAACGCUAUCAACAGGGUUAAGCAAGCAGUAACAUAGCCAAUCAGUGGUUUGCUAGGUUGAACAGGUUGAAGGUUUCAAGGCAUUGUUGAGAGGCUGAUAUUUAACAUGUGGUAGGAACGAGACAUAACGAUAGAAGCGGUAAAACUAGCAUGGCAAUUAUAGUAAUGGUAUCUGGGGAAAUGAUCAUCUUGCCUGAGAUCCCGCUUGGAAGAAGAAUGCCUCCGUGAAGUAGACGAACUGACGUAGUCGAACGGGUCCUCACAAUCCGACACGCUUGCGGAACUCUAUCGAGACGAAGCAAACCGGAAACACAAAUCAAUACACGAAAUUCACCACACGAUGCAACAACACAAAUGAUGCAUGAGCAGCUGAAAACAUGCAAGACACGGCAUGACAAUUCACGAUGAACAAACACUACACAUUAAGUGAAGUUCAAUAUACAACGGGUUGCAUAUUGACGAAAAUCCACGUAUAAUUAUUUAGUUCUAUCCCGAUUAAGUACACGUCAAUAUUAAAUGUGAUUAAACAUGGCAAGAGGUGAAGCGACGUUCCUACAUUCAUCCUAGUCGGUUAACACGCGAAACAUAGAACGGAGCUACGACACAAGAACAUGCAACACAAGAUUAUAUGCCAUGAAUGUGUUAUGCAUGCAAGCUCAUUACAUCACGGCAAGAAGGGAAAGAAAACAGGUGUCGCCACGGCGAGCGAAAGGGAACUAUGGCGACAAGUCGGAAACGAUGCCAUGGCAACAUUCCUAUCCCGAUAACUCGUCGAGAUAUCGGUGCCAACGAAUAGGGAGCGCGUGCGGGAACGCUAAAUAAAGAUGGGGUGAUCCCGGUUACCGGGUUCCCAUGUGUCGGGGCUCAACGACAGGAACACGUGCAACGGCAACAUAAGGCCCAAACUGUUGGAAAUAUGCCCUAGAGGCAAUAAUAAAUUAGUUAUUAUUAUAUUUCUUUGUUCAUGAUAAUCGUUUAUUAUCCAUGCUAUAAUUGUAUUGAUUGGAAACACAGUGCAUGUGUGGAUACAUAGACAAAACACUGUCCCUAGUAAGCCUCUAGUUGACUAGCUCGUUGAUCAAAGAUGGUCAAGGUUUCCUAACCAUAGGCAAGUGUUGUCACUUGAUAACGGGAUCACAUCAUUAGGAGAAUCAUGUGAUGGACUAGACCCAAACUAAUAGACGUAGCAUGUUGAUCGUGUCAUUUUGUUGCUACUGUUUUCUGCGUGUCAAGUAUUUGUUCCUAUGACCAUGAGAUCAUAUAACUCACUGACACCGGAGGAAUGCUUUAUGUGUAUCAAAUGUCGCAAAGUAACUGGGUGACUAUAAAGAUGCUCUACAAGUAUCUCCGAAGGUGUUCGUUGAGUUAGUAUGGAUCGAGACUGGGAUUUGUCACUCCGUGUGAUGGAGAGGUAUCUCGGGGCCCACUCGGUAAUACAACAUCACACACAAGCCUUGCAAGCAAUGUGACUUAGUGUAAGUCACGGGAUCUUGUAUUACGGAACGAGUAAAGAGACUUGCCGGUAAGCGAGAUUGAAAUAGGUAUGCGGAUACCGACGAUCGAAUCUCGGGCAAGUAACAUACCGAAGGACAAAGGGAAUGACAUACGGGAUUAUAUGAAUCCUUGGCACUGAGGUUCAACCGAUAAAGAUCUUCGGAAUAUGUAGGAUCCAAUAUGGGCAUCCAGGUCCCGCUAUUGGAUAUUGACCGAGGAGUCCCUCAGGUCAUGUCUACAUAGUUCUCGAACCCGCAGGGUCUGCACACUUAAGGUUCGACGUUGUUUUAUGCGUAUUUGAGUUAUAUGGUUGGUUACCGAAUGUUGUUCGGAGUCCUGGAUGAGAUCCAGGACGUCACGAGGAGCUCUGGAAUGGCCCGGAGGUAAAGAAUGAUAUAUAGGAAGUCCUGUUUUGGUCACCGGAAAAGUUUCGGGCUCAUCGGUAGUGUACCGGGAGUGCCGGGGACCAUCGGGAGGGGUGUCACGCCCCAAGGGGUCUCAUGGGCUAUGGGAAGAGAUAAAACAGCCCCUAGUGGGCUGGAAUAAGUUCCCACUAAGGCCCAUAAGGUUUGAGAAGGAAAAAACACAAGGUGGAAAGAGUUUCCAAGUGGGAAGGUGGAAUCCUACUCCAAGUAGGAUUGGAGUAGGACUCCUCCACCUCCAAUUUCGGCCAAACCUUGAGGGUUUGAGGCUGCCUCUUCCCUCCCCCUCCCUCCUAUAUAUACUUAGGUAUUAGGGCUGAUUUGAGACAACUUUUGCCACGGCAGCCCGACCACAUACAUUCACGGUUUUACCUCUAGAUCGCGUUUCUGCGGAGCUCGGGCGGAGCUCUGCUGAGAUUAGAUCACCACCAACCUCCGGAGCACCGUCACGCUGCCGGAGAACUCAUCUACCUCUCCGUCUCUCUUGCUGGAUCAAGAAGGCCGAGAUCAUCGUCGAGCUGUACGUGUGCUGAACACGGAGGUGCCGUCCGUUCGGCACUAGAUCGGAGCGGAUCGUGGGACGGAUCGCGGGACGGUUCGCGGGGCGGAUCGAGGGACGCGAGGACGUUCCACUACAUCAACCGCGUUUCUUAACGCUUCUGCUGUGCGAUCUACAAGGGUACGUAGAUCGGAAAUCCCCUCUCGUAGAUGGACAUCACCAUGAUAGGUCUUCGUGCGCGUAGGAAAUUUUUUGUUUCCCAUGCGACGUUCCCCAACAGUGGCAUCAUGAGCUAGGUUCAUGCGUAGAUGUAAUCUCGGGUAGAACACAAAAGUUUUUGUGGGCGGUGAUGUGCGUUUUUCUGCCCUCCUUAGUCUUUUCUUGAUUCCGCGGUAUUGUUGGAUCGAAGCGGCUCGAACCGACAUUACUCAUACGCUUACGAGAGACUGGUUUCAUCGCUAUGAGUAACUCCGUUGCUCAAAGAUGACCGGCGAGUGUCGGUUUCUCCAACUUUAGUUGAAUCGGAUUUGACCGAGGAGGUCCUUGGAUGAGGUUAAAUAGCAAUUCAUAUAUCUCCGUUGUGGUGUUUGCGUAAGUAAGAUGCGAUCCUACUAGAUACCCAUGGUCACCACGUAAAACAUGCAACAACAAUUAGAGGACGUCUAACUUGUUUUUGCAGGGUAUGCUUGUGAUAUGAUAUGGCCAACGAUGUGAUGUGAUAUAUUGGAUGUAUGAGAUGAUCAUGUUAUAAUAGUUAAUAUCGACUUGCACGUCGAUGGUACGGCAACCGGCAGGACCAUUGGGUUGUCUUUAAACUAACGUUUGUGCUUGCAAAUGUGUUUACUAUAUUGCUAGGAUGUAGCUUUAGUAGUAAUAGCAUGAGUAGCACGACAACCCCGAUGGCGACACGUUGAUGGAGAUCAUGAUGAUGGAGAUCAUGGUGUGACGCCGGUGACAAGAAGAUCGUGCCGGUGCUUUGGUGAUGGAGAUCAAGAAGCACAUGAUGAUGGCCAUAUGAUGUCAAUUAUGAAUUGCAUGUGAUGUUAAUACUUUAUGCACCUUAUCUUGCUUAGAACGACAGUAGCAUUAUGAGGUGAUCUCUCACUAAAAUUUCAAGACGAAAUUGUGUUCUCCCCGACUGUGCACCGUUGCGACAGUUCUUCAUUUCGAGACACCACGUGAUGAUCGGGUGUGAUAGACUCAACGUUCACAUACAACGGAUGCAAAACAGUUGCACACGCGGAACACUCGGGUUAAGCUUGACGAGAUUAGCGUGUGCAGACAUGGCCUCGGAACACAUGAGACCGAAAGGUCGAGCAUGAAUCGUAUAGUUGAUAUGAUUAGCAUAGAGAUGCUUACCACUGAAACUAUUCUCGACUCACGUAAUGAUCGGACUUGAGAUAGUGGAUUUGGAUCAUGUACCACUCAAAUGAUUAGAGAGAUGUACUUUUUGAGUGGGAGUUCUUAAGUAAUAUGAUUAAUUGAACUAAUUGUCAUGAACAUAGUCUAGUGCUCUUUGCAAAUUACGAUGUAGCUUGCGCUAUAGCUCUACUGUUUUUAUAUGUUCCUAGAGAAAAUUUAGUUGAAAGUUGAUAGUAGCAAACUUUGCACACUGAGUCUGUAAAACCGAGGAUUGUCCUCGUUGCUGCGCAGAAGGCUUAUGUCCUUAAUGCACCACUCGGUGUGUUGCACCUCAAGCAUCGUCUAUAGAUGUUGUGAACAUCCGACAUACACGUUUAUGAUGACUACACGAUAGUUCAGUGCAAAAUAUUUAAUGGCUUAGAAGCAAGGCGCCGAAAACGUUUUGAAACGUCACGGAACAUAAGUGAUGUUCUAAAGAGAUGAAAUUGUGAUUUCAUGCUUGUGCCCUUGUUAAGAGGUACGAGACCUCCGACAAGAUUCUUUGUCCACAAAGUAAAGGAGAAAAGCUCAAUCGUUGAGCAUGUGCUCAGAUCGACAAUCGCUUGAAUCAAGUGGGAGUUAAUCUUCCAGAUGAGAUAGUGAUGGUUCUCCAAAGUCACUGCCACCAAGCUGUUAGAGCUUCGUGAUGAACUAUAACAUAUCAAGGAUAGAUACAAUGAUCCUUGAGCGAUUCGCGAUGUUUGACACUGCGAAAGUAGAAAUCAAGAAGGAGCAUCAAUAGUUGAUGGUUAGUAAAACCACUAAAUUUCGAUAAAGGCCAGGGCUAGAAGGGAUACUUCGUGAAACGGCAAAACAAUUGCUGCACUAAUGAAGAGACCCCAGAUUGAACCCAAGCCUGGGACUAAGUGCUUCUGUUAUGAGGGGAACGGUCACUGAGGCGAAGCAACUCUAGAUACUUGUUAGAUAAGAAGGCUGGCAAAAGUCGAAAGAAGUAUAUUUGAUAUACAUGAUGUUGAUGUAUACUUUACUAGUACUCCUAGUAGCACGAGGGUAUUGGAUACCGGUUCGGUUGCUAAGUGAUUAGUAACACGAUAUGAAAGCUACGGCAUAAACGGAGACUAGCUAAAGGCGAGGUGACGAUACGUGUUGGAAGUGUUUCCAAGGUUGAUAUGAUCAAACGCCGCACACUCCCUCUACCAUCGGGAUUGGUGUUAAACCUAAAUAAUUGUUAUUUGGUGCUUGCGUUAAGCAUGAACAUGAUUGUAUCGUGUUUAUUGCAAUACGAUUAUUCAUUUAAAGAGAAUAAUGGUUACUCUAUUUGCUUGAAUAAUCACCUUCAAUGGUUUAUUGAAUCUCGAUCGUAGUGUUACACAUGUUCAUGAUAUUGGUGCCAAAAGAUACGAGAUAAUAAUGAUAGUACCACUUACUUGUGGCACUGCCGCUUGAGUCAUGUUGGUAUAAAUUGCAUGAAGAGGCUCCAUGCUGAUGGAUCUUUAUACUCACUUGAUUUUGAAUCACUAGUGACAUGCAAAUCAUACCACAUGAGCAAGGCCUUGUUUUCAUUGAGAUGAAACAAGAUAGUAACUUGUUGGAAGUGAUACAUUUUGAUGUAUGCAGUCCAAUGGGUGCCGAGGCACGCAGUGGAUAUCAUUAUGUUCUUACUUCAAUGACGAUUUGAGUAGAUACAAGAGUAUUUACUUAAUGAAUCACAAGUCUGAAAUAUUGAAAAGUUUAAUUCUGUUUCAGGAGUGAAGUUCUCGUAACAAGAGGAUACACUGUCUACGAUAUGAUCAUAGAAAUGAAUAUCUGAGUUACGAGUUUUGGUACGCAGUUAAGACAAUGUGGAAAUUGUUUCGCAGUUCAUGCCACCUGGAACAUCAUAGUGUGAUGAUGUGUCUGAACGUCAUAGCCACGCACUAUUUGAUAUGGUGCAUACUAUGAUGUCUCUUAUCGAAUUACUACUAUCGUUUAUGGGUUAUGCAUUAGAGACAACCGCAUUCACUUUAAAUAGGGCACCGCGUAUUUGCGUUGAGAUGACACAGUAUAGACUGAGGUUUAGAGAAAUCUAAACUGUCGUUUCUUGAAAGUUUGGAGCUGCGAUGCUUAUGUGAAAAAGUUUCAGUCUGAUAAGCUCGAACCCAAAGCGGAUAAAUGCAUCUUCAUAAGAUAUCCAAAACAGUUGGAUGCAUCUCCUAUCUCAGAUCCGAAAGCAAAGUGUUUGUUUCUAGAAACGGGUUCUUUCUCGAGGAAAGGUUUCUCUCGAAAGAAUUGAGUGGGAGGGUAGUAGAACUUGAUGAAGUUAUUGAACCAUCACUUCAACCAGUGUGUAGCAGGGCGCAGGAAGUUGUUCGUGUGGCGCCUACACCAAUUGAAGUGAAAGCUGAUGAUGGUGAUCAUCGAGCAUCAGAUCAAGUUACUACAAGCCUCGUAGGUUGACAAGGUCGCGUACUACUGCAGAGUGGUACGGUAACCCUGUCUUGGAGGUCAUGUUGUUGAGCAACAGUGAACCUACGAGUUAUGGAGAAAGCAAUGGUGGGCCCGGAUCCCGACAAAUGGCUGGAAGCCAUGAAAUCCGAGAGAGGAUCCAUGUAUGAAAACAAAGUGUAGACUUUGGAAGAACUACUUGAUGGUCAUAGGACUAUUGAGUAAAGAUGGAUCUUUAAAAGGAAGACAGACGAUGAUGGUGAUAAGUCACUAUUAAGAAAAGCUCGACUUGUCGCAAAGAUGUUUUCGACAAGAUCAAACCGUUGACUAUGAUGAGACUUUCUCACUCGUAGCGAUGCUAAAAGUCUGUUAGAAUUAUGUUAGUAGUUGAUGCAUUAUUUAUGAAAUAUUGCACAUAGGAUGUCAAAACAUUGUUUCCUCGACGGUUUCCAUGAGCAAACAUUGUAUGUGAUACAACCAGGAGGUUUUGUCGAUCCUAAAGAUACUAGCAAGUAUGCAAGCUCCAGCGAUCCUUCAAUGGACUGGUGCAAGCAUCUCGGAGUUGGAAUAUACACUUUGAUGAGAUGAUCAAAGAUUUUGGGGUUGUACAAGGUUUGUGAGAAACUUGUAUUUCCGAAGAAGUGAGUGGGAGCACUAUAGAAUUUCUGAUAAGUAUAUGUGGUUGACAUAUUGUGGAUCAGAAGUAAUGUAGAAUUUCUGUAAAGCAUACAAGGUUGUUUGAAAGGAGUUUUUCAAAGGAAUACCUGGAUUGCGCUACUUGAACGUUGAGCAUCAAAGAUCUACGGAGAUAGAUCGAAAGCGCUUAAUAGAAGUUUCCACAAGAUGCAUGCCUUGACAAGUUUUUGAAGGAGUUCAAAAUAGAUCAGCAAAGAAGGAGUUCUUGGUUGCGUUGUGAGGUGUGAAUUUGAGUAAGACUCAAAACCCGACCACGGCAGAAUAAAGAGAAUUGAGGAUGGUCGUCUUCUAUGCCUUAGCCGUAGACUCUAAAGUAUGCCAUGCUGAGUACCGCACCUGAUGUGUGCCUUGCAGCAAGUCUGUUAAGAGGUACACAGAGUGAUCCAGGAUUGAAUCACUGAUCAGCGGUCAAAGUUAUCCUUAGUAACUAAAUAGACUAAGGAAUUUUUCUCGAUUAUGGAGGUGGUUAAAGAGUUCGUCGUAAAGGGUUACGUCGAUGCAAGCUUUGACACUAAUCCGAAUAACUAUGAGUAGUGAAACGGAUUCAUAUAGUAGAGUAGAUAUUUGGAGCAUUUCCGAAUAGCACGUAGUAGCAACAUCUAUAAGAUGACAUAAAGAUUUGUAAAGAACGCACGGAUCUGAAAGUUUCAGAACCGUUGACUAAAACCUCUCUCACGAGCAAGACGUGAUCACACCCCAGAACUAUAUGGGUGUUGGAUUCGUUGAAAUCACAUGGUGAUGUGAACUAGAUUAUUGACUCUAGUGCAAGUGGUAGACUGUUGGAAAUAUGCCCUAGAGGCAAUAAUAAAUUAGUUAUUAUUAUAUUUCUUUGUUCAUGAUAAUCGUUUAUUAUCCAUGCUAUAAUUGUAUUAAUUGGAAACACAGUGCGUGUGUGGAUUCUCGAGACAGACUCCCAGACUCCCAAAACAGUGCCGUCUCCGAUUCCAAAAUCACCGUCGGCCAUUAAUGGAGACCAAUGACGCAAAUCCGAUCCCCAAUCUGCUCGCCUUCCUUCUUCAAAGAUCUUCCCGUUCCUCAUGGAACAGCGCCGCCGCUUCCUGCUCACUUCCCCAUCAGGCAUCAGCUAGACGUUGGAGUCUUGGAGAUCCCGUUCCUCACUUCCCGGUGAUCCCGUUCCUCCUUUGAGAAUUGAGAUAAAUACAUGACCCUGCCUGCAUCUCUAUUCUCUAAUAUCUCUCUUUCUCUGUUUCAGACUUUCAGUGGACAGGGGAAUAAGGGAUCUAUUUGAGGCAGGGGGAGGGCUGUUGUUCUUGUUCGCUGGGAAUUGCUGCUGUUCUUGUUCGCUGCCAGUGCCUGCUGCUGCCAGGCCGCCAGGGGGAGGGGGCGAAGGCAGGCAAGGGGAGGGGCCGAAGGGAGGGGCCGAAGGCAGGUUGGAUCUGUUUCAGGUAAUCAGGUUCUCCACUAGUUCAUUUUCUUUUAGAACAGAUUUUUUCUUCCCGGUGAAACAAAUCACAUGAACAUCAAACACCUGAACUGCAGAACCGGAGAAGGGUCCUGUUGACUGGCACUCACGGAUCUGCUGAUUUGGCCGCCUACAUCAACAUUCAGGUGCCUUUGUUCCCUGUUUUAAUCAUUUUAUGCUGCUUGUUCUUGAUAAGUAACAUGUCCUUUAGAAAGCAUUUAUCUGGUAGUAACAAAAGGAAGAUAAAAAAGCAAAAAGAUGAAGAGGUAAAAUCUCUAAAAGAAUCACUUAAUAGAUAUUUCAAACCUGGUAGUUCUUCUAGAGGUCCCGUGGAAUUGGCCAUAGUAUGUGUUGAACAACCAACUGAGAAUGCAAAUGCUACUGAUGAUGAUAUGGAUGUGGGUAAUGGUAAUUCUAGCGAGCAUGAAAAUGUAACUCGUUCAUCAAAUUGUGAAUCACCGAGUCAGGGCCCUGCACCGAGUGUCGAUAAACAAGAACCAUCCACUGUUGAUAUUUUUGACCCAAGAAACUGGGAUAAUCUGGAUGAUAAGGCAAGGGAUAUUUUAGUUGAGAAGGGCCCUGUAAGGAAUGAUGAUAUUGUGUUCCCUCCAGAUAGUAAUUCUAGACAUUUUUCACUAUCUUAUUAUUCCAGAAAGUUGAGGAAUGGAGAGAGGUACAUGCCAGGAAAUGGUUGGUUUACUCUGAACAUGCCAACAAAGUGUAUUGUUUUUGUUGCAAGCUUUUCAAAUCCCAUAGCAACAAGAGUGCGUUAGCUGGUAAUGGGCUGAGUGUCUGGAAGCAUCUUAGCGAGAGGCUUAAAGAACAUGAAAAUGGUGUAGAACACAUUAAAACCAUGAACACUUGGAACGAGUUAAAAGUUAGACUGGCCAAAAAUAAAACCAUUGAUAAGGAUUUGCAGCAGCAGAUUAAUAAGGAGAAAGAACGUUUGAGACAAGUGUUAGUGAGAUUAGUAGCAAUUGUUAAAUAUCUUGGUAAACGUAACUUGGCUUUCCGUGGAUCUAGUGAGAAACUUUAUCAACACAACAAUGGUAAUUUUUUGGCAUGUGUAGAGAUGAUUGCUGAAUUUGAUCCAAUAAUGCAAGAACAUCUUAGAAGAAUUCAGAAUGAUGAAAUUUAUCAUCACUAUCUCAGCCACAAAAUUCAGAAUGAGUUGAUUUCUCUAUUGGCCUCUAGUGUUACUAGUUCUAUCUCACAAAUUAUUAAAGAAGCUAAAUAUUUCUCCAUAAUUCUUGAUUGUACUCCAGAUGUUAGCCAUCAAGAACAAAUGACCCUAAUUAUUCGAUGUGUUAACAUGUCAAAUAGAAAAAUGAAAAUAGAAGAUUUUUUAUGGAAUUUUUGACAGUGGAUGACACUUCUGGUUUGGGUCUUUUUAAUGUACUUCUUGAUGCAAUUGAGUCUUAUGGCUUAAAUAUUGAUAAUGUAAGGGGCCAAGGGUACGAUAAUGGUUUCAACAUGAAAGGAAACAAACAAGGGGUACAAAGUCGUUUACUUGAAAAAAAAUCCAAGAGCUUUAUAUCUGCCAUGUGCGUGUCAUAGCCUCAAUCUUACUUUGUGUGAUAUGGCAAGUUCUUGUAGUAAAGCUAUAUCCUUCUUUGGAAUUGCGCAACGAAUUUAUGUUUUAUUUUCAAGUUCCACUAAAAGAUGGAAAGUUUUACUUGAUCAUAUUCCUAGUUUAACCGUAAAAGGUUUGUCUAAUACUCGAUGGGAGAGUCGAAUCAAAAGUGUAAAGGCUAUUAGAUAUCAAGCUCCACAAUUAAGGAUCGCUUUGUCCGAGUUAUGUAAAAUUUGUGAUGAUGCCAAGUCAAAGAGCGAUGCAAAAAAUUUAUUUGAUGCGCUUGGUAGUUUUGAGUUUUUACUUGGCAUGGUUAUUUGGCAUGAUAUAUUAUUUGCUGUAAACAUGGUGAGCAAGAAGUUGCAGUCUGCAUCUAUGUGUGUUGACUCUACCUUGCAGCAAAUUGAAGGCGUAAUGCAAUUUUCUGACAAGUAUAGAGAUGAAUGAUUUGCAUCUUGUGUAACUAUCGCCAAAGGUCUUGCAAUUGAUAUGGGCAUAGAACCAUCAUUUCCAAUAAAACAUAAUGUUACUAGGAAGAAACAAUUUGAUGAACCUGAUAACGAUGAAGAAGUUCUAAAAGCCGAGAAGGCGUUCGAAGUUAAUUAAUUUUUAGUUGUGGUUGAUAUUGCAAGGGUCUCUCUGAGAACUAGAUUCAAAGAACUCAAAGUUUUGAAAAGUAUAUUUGGCUUCUUACUUAGCUCAAAAGACAAGGAGUUAUUGGAUGAUGUCGAACUAUGAAAAUGUUGUGCUAAGUUUGUAGAAACAUUUUCACUAAAUGGUUCAUGCGAUGUUGAGUUAGAUGAUCUUUUUUUCUGAAAUAAGAUUGCUGCAAAUGACUUUACCAGAAUCAGAUUUGCCAUUGCAUGCUAUGGAGAUUUUUGAGUUUGUUAGAGAUAUUGACUGUUUUCCAAAUGUUUUAGUUGCUUAUCGAAUUUUGUUCACUGUUCGAAUGACCGUAGCAUCAGCGGAGCGUAGCUUUUCCAAGUUGAAAUUGUUAAAGAACUACUUGAGGUCAACAAUGUCACAAGAAAGAUUAAAUGGUCUUGCUACUUUAUGUAUUGAGAAAGAUAAGUUGGAUGAAAUAAAUGUUGAUGCAAUAAUUGAUGACUUUGCUUCAAGAAGUGUUAGAAGAAUUUCCAAGUUCUAGUAUAGACGUGAAAUUCUCAGUUAGCUUUACUAUGCCUUGAGCAGGAAUGUUUGGAAGAAUUGAGUUACUAUGCUGUGAAGAAUUUUGGAAUGAAGAAGAGGGCCGAUUGGCGAGGAUCGAGAAACAAAUGUAAGUUCAUGCCUAACUUUUUAUUUGAUGGUAACACAAAAGAUUUAAGUAGCAACCAGUUUUGACAGGAAUUUUUAUUUUGCAGAAUAAAAUGACAGUCUCCAUUCAAAUUUAGGAAUGCAAGCUUUUGUGAAAAGAGAGCUUUUGUCGAACUUCAUCUCCUUACUAUCAUGAUGUAGUUCACUUGAUCGACAAAUAAAUUAUACUGUCAGUUUUAGAGUCCAAAUUAAAUCAUCAGACUGCGCUAUGUAUUGGAUAUUACUUUGGUUUUGAAAUAUAAAGUAUUUUGAGCUUUUUGAGUAAACAAGAACCCCUUAUUGUUGUCUUGCCCCAGGCCCGUAUAUCUAUGGCCCGGCCCUGAGCACGAACCGGUAGAUGGUGACGAAGAACUCGGACAGCUUACGUGGCGUCACAUGAUGUGGCCGGAACGCAACGGCCAGGUCCCGGAUGACAUGGCACAUCCGACCUGGCAACUGCCAACUGUCAAGGAUCCACAAGGCAUGCACUUUUUCUUGCCGGAUUCUAUACACAAUGCCAGCUUCAUUUUUUAUUCUUUUGAAAUGAGUAAUGCCAGCUUCAUGAGUCUUAGUAUUACUCCCUCCGUUCCAUAAUAUAAGUCUUUUUGGAGAUUCUACUAGAAGACUACGUACGGAUGUAUAUGGACAUAUUUUAGAGUAUAGAUUCACUCAUUUGCUCCGUAUAUAGUUCAUUAGUGAAAUCGCUUAAAAGACUUAUAUUUAGGAAUGGAGGGAGUAUUUCUCUUUCUAGUGAAAGCAAUGUUAUCGUGGUUGCAACCUGCGAAAGAAUAUCCCUCUUUUUUUUGCGUAUAAAAUGAACAUCCCUCUGACUCUAGCAUCACACAGUACGGAAAAUAUACCUUGGAACUUGGGUGUAGACGAACUUGUUACGGGAAAACAAUUUAGCAAGUGUGUGUGUGUGGGUGGGUGGGGGGGGGAUCAAAAUAUUUAGAAACUUCUUCGGAACAAACUUGACUACUGAUAUACUCUUACAGAAUUUUGCACUGACUGAAAAACUCCUGUCGACUUCAAGGAAAAGAAAUACUUUUUUGUGGGACAAAUAAGGUAAAUAGAACUCUUAUAUGCUACUUAUUUUGUUUCUUCUCGGCCACAAUACCAAGAAAAUCAUUUCUACGGAAAAAAUUGUACACGAGUGUAACUCUUGAUCAUGUUUAUUUCUACUAUUUUAAAGAAACUUUGACCUUUUUACAAUUACUGAAUUAGUUUUUCAGUUUGGGUUCAUCUACACCUACAGGUUCCAAACGUUCACCUCCCUCCUAGUACCAAGUACUCAUUCCACGCAAUCGGGGGCAUGAAUUUCUCAACUUUAUCAGAUUCAUGAACUUGCUGACCACUUGGCUUCGAUGCUCCAGUAAGGGCAUCUCCAAUACGGUCCCUUAAAGUGUUGGUAAAGGUCUGGACUAUAACACGUGAAAACAUUUCGCCACCCAACGGUGUCUCCUAAAUGUCCACGGACCGGUCUGCAUGUCCUUCUUUUUCAAAUCCAAAGCAAACUUGCUUGGCCCACUGACAUUUGGAUCACACGCCCUCGUAUCUCAUGUGUUUCAUGCUCUAGGUCGGUCUAGCACACCCCUACUAUUCAGAUUUGAUGUCUAUUUAAGGGGCAAGGUUCAUAGUUGGAUCAUGCAUCAUGUCCGCGGAAGCAUCCUACGCGAUCCAUGAACAAAUAUCGUCUCCAUUUUAAGGGUUGGGUCCGCGGUCUGCACUGAAGCUAGCCCUGACUGAGCUUAGAUCCAUGAAAGGAUGACCACAUGCAUUACAUUUUUUUUGCCACCAAUUAGCUCGCCCUAAUUGAUUUCAUUGAUUGAUUACUUGAGCAAUGCCGUCACACCGUCAAAAAUAUCAAUAAUCAAGUAUUACUUUCAAUAGGCACCCUACCUAAACUUAGUUUAAGGUCACCGAGGCAGACCAACAACAUCUAAGAGAACUACCAGAAAAGAUGAGUCAUCUAGCUAAGUAGCUAAAGAAUGCAACGAUAUCCACCUAGUGACUUUAAUUUGUCUAAGCAUGCAUCUCCUUCACAACACAGUUUCUCGUCCUCUCUAAUCAUGUACGGGGUGCUUCACAACAACAAAUACAUUGUAACUCUUAGUUUUUACUAUCUAUAUAUAUUCUCUUGAUCUACUGAAGAUUGACCUCAUGCAUAAAAUGUGUGAAAUCACUAGUAGAAAACAGGGCUAUCGUUUGGCCAUGGCCAACCCAUUAGUCCCGGUUCUUCACGAACCGGGACCCACGGGGGGCAAUAGUCCCGGUUCAUUAGCCCAGGGGCCGGCUGGGGCCUCGUGGGCAUAGGUCCCGGUUCGUGUGGACCCAUUUGUCCCGGUUCGUGUGGACCCAUUUGUCCCUGUUCUAGGCACGAACCGGGACCAAUGGGCCGCGCUCCUGGCCCACAUCCAUUGGUACCGGUUCAUGCCUUGAACCGGUUUAGAAGGGGGGACUUUAGCCCCAGUUUAUGCCACGAACAAAUGUAAUUCUAUCAUUUGUGUGUUGUGUUUCUAUCAUUUGUGUUAUGUUUCUGCUAGUGUGUUGUGUCCUAGAUGUAAUUCUAUCAUUUGUGCACUGUUGUGAACUUGAACAAAUGUAAAGUUGUGCCCUAGAUGUAAUGGAUAUCAUGUGGUGUGUUAAAAUUGUCACCACUACCAACUUGGAACCUUUUCACAGUUCAUUUCAAAUGNNNNNNNNNNNNNNNNNNNNNNNNNNNNNNNNNNNNNNNNNNNNNNNNNNNNNNNNNNNNNNNNNNNNNNNNNNNNNNNNNNNNNNNNNNNNNNNNNNNNNNNNNNNNNNNNNNNNNNNNNNNNNNNNNNNNNNNNNNNNNNNNNNNNNNNNNNNNNNNNNNNNNNNNNNNNNNNNNNNNNNNNNNNNNNNNNNNNNNNNNNNNNNNNNNNNNNNNNNNNNNNNNNNNNNNNNNNNNNNNNNNNNNNNNNNNNNNNNNNNNNNNNNNNNNNNNNNNNNNNNNNNNNNNNNNNNNNNNNNNNNNNNNNNNNNNNNNNNNNNNNNNNNNNNNNNNNNNNNNNNNNNNNNNNNNNNNNNNNNNNNNNNNNNNNNNNNNNNNNNNNNNNNNNNNNNNNNNNNNNNNNNNNNNNNNNNNNNNNNNNNNNNNNNNNNNNNNNNNNNNNNNNNNNNNNNNNNNNNNNNNNNNNNNNNNNNNNNNNNNNNNNNNNNNNNNNNNNNNNNNNNNNNNNNNNNNNNNNNNNNNNNNNNNNNNNNNNNNNNNNNNNNNNNNNACGAGUAAAGAGACUUGCGAGUAAACGAGAUUGAAAUAGGUAUGCGGAUACUGACGAUCGAAUCUCGGGCAAGUAACAUACCGAAGGACAAAGGGAAUGACAUACGAGAUUAUAUGAAUCCUUGGCACUGAGGUUCAAACGAUAAGAUCUUCGUAGAAUAUGUAGGAUCCAAUAUGGGCAUCCAGGUCCCGCUAUUAGAUAUUGACCGAGGAGUCUCUCGGGUCAUGUCUACAUAGUUCUCGAACCCGUAGGGUCUGCACACUUAAGNNNNNNNNNNNNNNNNNNNNNNNNNNNNNNNNNNNNNNNNNNNNNNNNNNNNNNNNNNNNNNNNNNNNNNNNNNNNNNNNNNNNNNNNNNNNNNNNNNNNNNNNNNNNNNNNNNNNNNNNNNNNNNNNNNNNNNNNNNNNNNNNNNNNNNNNNNNNNNNNNNNNNNNNNNNNNNNNNNNNNNNNNNNNNNNNNNNNNNNNNNNNNNNNNNNNNNNNNNNNNNNNNNNNNNNNNNNNNNNNNNNNNNNNNNNNNNNNNNNNNNNNNNNNNNNNNNNNNNNNNNNNNNNNNNNNNNNNNNNNNNNNNNNNNNNNNNNNNNNNNNNNNNNNNNNNNNNNNNNNNNNNNNNNNNNNNNNNNNNNNNNNNNNNNNNNNNNNNNNNNNNNNNNNNNNNNNNNNNNNNNNNNNNNNNUCGGAGUUACCGGGAAUGUACCGGGAAUGACGAAUGGGUUCCGUGUGUUCACCGGGGGGGUGGGGGCAACCCACCCCGGGGAAGCCCAUAUGCCUUGGGGGUGGCACACCAGCACUUAGUGGGCUGGUGGGACAGCCCAAGAAGGCCCUAUGCGCCAUAAGAAUAAAAUCAAAGAGAAAAGAAAAAAAAAGGAGGAGGUGGGAAAGGGAAGAAGGACUCCACCCACCAAACCAAGUUGGACUCGGUUUGGGGGGGCGGAGGAGACCUUCCCCCCUUGGCUGGGCCGAACCCCUUGGGGGUCCUUGAGCCCCAAGGCAAGGCUCCCCCUCUUCCCCCUAUAUAUACGGAGGUUUUAGGGCUGAUUUGAGACGACUUUUCCACGGCAGCCCGACCACAUACCUCCACGGUUUUUCCUCUAGAUCGCGUUUCUGCGGAGCUCGGGCGGAGCCCUGCUGAGACAAGAUCAUCACCAACCUCUGGAGCGCCGUCACGCUGCCGGAGAACUCAUCUACCUCUCCAUCUCUCUUGCUGGAUCAAGAAGGCCGAGAUCAUCGUCGAGCUGUACGUGUGCUGAACGCGGAGGUGCCGUCCGUUCGGCACUAGAUCGUGGGACUGAUCGCGGGACGGUUCGCGGGGCGGAUCGAGGGACGUGAGGACGUUCCACUACAUCAACCGCGUUCACUAAUGCUUCUUCUAUGCGGUCUACAAGGGUACGUAGAUCGAAUAUCCCCUCUCGUAGAUGGACAUCACCAUGAUAGGUCUUCGUGCGCGUAGGAAAUUUUUUGUUUCCCAUGCACGUUCCCCAACAGUGGCAUCAUGAGCUAGGUUCAUGCGUAGAUGUCUUCUCGAGUAGAACACAAAAGUUUUUGUGGGCGGUGAUGUGCGUUUUGCUGCCCUCCUUAGUCUUUUAUUGAUUCCGCGGUAUUGUUGGAUUGAAGCGGCUUGGACCGACAUUACUCGUACGCUUACGAGAGACUGGUUUCAUCGCUAAGAGUAACCCCGUUGCUCAAAGAUGAGUGGCAAGUGUCAGUUUCUCCAACUUUAGUUGAAUCGGAUUUGACCGAGGAGGUCCUUGUAUAAGGUUAAAUAGCAAUUCAUAUAUCUCCGUUGUGGUGUUUGCGUAAGUAAGAUGCGAUCCUACUAGAUACCCAUUGUCACCACGUAAAACAUGCAACAACAAAAUUAGAGGACGUCUAACUUGUUUUUGCAGGGUAUGCUUGUGAUGUGAUAUGGCCAACGAUGUGAUGUGAUAUAUUGGAUGUAUGAGAUGAUCAUGUUGUAAUGGAUAAUAUCGACUUGCACGUCGAUGGUACGGCAACCGGCAGGAGCCAUAGGGUUGUCUUUAAACUAACGUUUGUGCUUGCAGAUGUGUUUACUAUUUUGCUAGGAUGUAGCUUUAGUAGUAAUAGCAUGAGUAGCACGACAACCCCGAUGGCGACACAUUGAUGGAGAUCAUGGUGUGGCGCCGGUGACAAGAAGAUCGUGCCGGUUCUUUGGUGAUGGAGAUCAAGGAGCACGUGAUGAUGGCCAUAUCAUGUCACUUAUGAAUUGCAUGUGAUGUUAAUCCUUUUAUGCACCUUAUUUUGGUUAGAACGACGGUAGCAUUAUAAGGUGAUCUCUCACUAAAAUUUCAAGACGAAAUUGUGUUCUCCCCGACUGUGCACCGUUGCUACAGUUCGUCGUUUCGAGACACCACGUGAUGAUCUGGUGUGAUAGACUCAACGUUAACAUACAACGGGUGCAAAACAGUUGCACACGCGGAACACUCGGGUUAAGCUUGACGAGCCUAGCAUGUGCAGACAUGGCCUCGGAACACAUGAGACCGAAAGGUCGAUCAUGAAUCAUAUAGAUGAUAUGAUUAGCAUAGGGAUGCUUACCACUGAAACUAUACUCAACUCACGUGAUGAUCGGACUUGAGCUAGUGUAAGUGGAUCAUGAACCACUCAAAUGACUAGAGAGAUGUACUUCUUGAGUGGGAGUUUAGCGAGUAAUUUGAUUAAGUUAAACUCUAAUUAUCUUGAACAUAGUCUAAGUCCACUUUGAAUAUAUUUGUGUUGUAGAUCAUGGCUCACGCGACAGUCACCCUGAAUUUUAAUACGUUCCUAGAGAAAGCUAAGUUGAAAGAUGAUGGAAGCAACUUUGUAGACUGGGCUCGUAAUCUUAAGCUAAUCUUACAAGCUGUGAAGAAGGAUUAUGUCUUUAAUGCUGCGCUAGGAGAUGAACCACCCGCUACGGCUGACCAGGAUGUUAAGAAUGCUUGGUUAACACGUAAGGAGGACUACUCAGUAGUUCAAUGUGCAGUCUUGUAUGGCUUAGAACCAGGACUUCAACGUCGCUUUGAGCAUCAUGGAGCAUUUGAGAUGUUCCAGGAGUUGAAGUUCAUCUUUCAGAAGAACGCCCGGGUCGGGAGGUAUGAGACCUCCGAUAAAUUCUAUGCUUGCAAGAUGGAGGAGAACUCGUCUGUCAGUGAACAUGUGCUCAAAAUAUCUGGGUACUCAAACCGUCUAGCUGAGCUGGGGAUUGAACUCCUUCAAGAGGCUAUCACCGACAGAAUCCUUCAAUCACUGCCGCCAAGCUAUAAAGGCUUUUGUCACAUCCCUGACACCUUAAGCAAGUUAGUCUUGUGCUCAUGUCUUCUUUGCAUUUGCAUCUAAGAAUUUUCAACAAGAUCGAAGAACGAGGUGAAGGAAAACCCAAAACCCUAGCCACUACUUUAAAUAAAGGAAAUCUCAAACUAGUUAAAAUCAAUGAACCCAAAAUGGCCUCAAGAAAUGUUCAAACUUUCUGAUAAAUCAUGAAAGUAAAUGAGCAUUGGAGAAAACUAUUUUCUUGACACUUUAAGCAUUUUAAAUAAAUGCAAAAGCUACUGGUUUCAAGUUUUAAAUUUGAAAUCAGAAACUUUAAAUUUUCAAAAAUGUUGAAAACUUUGGAAAUAGUUGGAAAUAUUCCAACAAAUAUUCAGGUGUGUUUAAAAUAGUUUUACAACCCAUUUUGGAGCUGAAAUAAAUAGCAAAACAAUAGUUAGCAAAACAGAAACAAAAUAGAAAAGAAAUAAGAGAAAGAAAACCCUUACCUGUCGCCUGAGGAGGCCCAGCCCACCAGGGGCACGGCUGUCUUCUUCCUCCUGCCAGGAGGAGAAGCAGCUGUGUGCCGACGCGCCGGCGAGCGCAGCCACGUCCCCUGGCCACCUCCUGCUUGCCCGAGCCACGCAGACGGCGGGGAUGAGUACCCCGUGCACGUCUCUCCCUUCUCCACCCAUCUCUGGCUCCCCUCCAUCUCUCUCUCGCCCUCUCCCACCAUGGCCGAGCCUGCUUGUCGCCGCCGAUCGUCGUAGCCGUGGCCACGAGCCCCCUCCAGCCCAGCUGCUGUGCCCCAAAGCCCCGCCGUGCUCCUCCUCGUCCCCUGGAAGAAGGAAUCAAGCCCGGAGGCCCCCUGUCAUCGCCUCGCCGCCACCUUCUCCACCUCCGGCCGCCGGACCUCUUCCGUCGAUUCGCUCCCUCCGGCGCACCCCCGAGCCCUACAACAACACCAUCGGAACCGCCGUGAGCUCGUCAUCAUUUCCCCUCUCACCCCAUGCUCUUCCGUGCACCGUAGCCCCGUUCCCCACCAAGGCCGAGAGCUCCUCGCCGCCGGUCAUGUCGUCGCCGUCGCUGUGGUGUCUGUUCCACGCGCUCGAGCUAGGGAUCGAGCUCCUGGAGCCGCCAGGAAUGUGAUGAGCCCAUCAGCUGUCCUCCCCGUGCCCUGGAGCCAUCACCCGCGGAAGGCCAAGCUUCGGCCGCCGCUUCGGCUCGUCGCCUCUCCCGGCGACCGUAGCUUCUCUUGACGCCCCUGCCAGACCGGCUGCUUCGCCAGCGUCCCGUAGCUGCAAGCCGCGCUCGAUUUGGUGCCGUGUAGCACCGUUUAGGUCGUCUCCGGCGAGCCCUCCGCCGCAGGCUUGGUCGCCGGCGACCACCCUCCGGUGGGCGUCGACGUGGCCGACCAUUAGGGCGUAAUUGUCCUUCCCCCAGUCACUGCCAGAGGGCCCCACGCCUGGUCAAACCCCAAUUAGGGGCUGGUCAGCGCGGGGUUAGCCCCUGGGUCACUGACCAGUGGACCCCACUGGUCAGGUUUGACCUGGCCCAGGCGCAGUUGACCUGCUGACGUCAGUAGUGAUGCAAUAUUAGUAUUUCUGUUUAUAAAAUAAAUCCAGGAAAUUGCUAAAACUUGUAAAAAUCAUAGAAAUUAAUCUGUAACUCCAAUGAAAAUAAUUUAUAUAUGAAAAAGCAUCAGAAAAAUUCAAGGAAUCUGAAUAUGCUAUUUUCAAUCAUGUUUGAAAAAGUUACAGAACCCAAACAUGUAGAUUAAUGAAUAAGUCAAUUCUUAUAACUACUUUAUAAAUGGAAUUUGGAAAAUAUUCAAAUUUCAUUAUGAAUGACAUGAUCACACACUAUCCUAAUUACAAAUCAGUACCCUAACAUGACAUCUCAUGCAUGUUAACAUCAAGUUGAUCUGAGCAUCAGGUCGAAUCAAUUAAAUCGGUAUUCGAGAAUACCUCGUUUGAAUUGAUAUUUGAAUGUGAUUCAAAUCAACUUCAAACCUAAUACAUGUUGAUUAUAUUAGUUUAUCACCUUGCAUUCUCAUGCCAUGCUCAUGCAUCAUCUUGCUUGCAUAUGAUUGUUAUUGAUUGUUGCCAUUCAUUUCGGUAGGCUGCGCACCCCCGGAUUCCACCGAAUAUCCGUCUGACGGAUAUUGUCCCUCCUCUGAGCAACAAGGCAAGCAACCCUUUUGAUAUCCCGAUAACUCCCAUGUUCUUGCUCCUGCACUUAUUUAUUACAUUAGGAUCAAAUGCUUCAACUGCUUUUGCCACGUUAGUUGAAGCCACUUCCUUUGCAUGACCUAACCUUGUCACAGUAAAUAGCCGAACCUUGCAACCUAGCAUACCUGGUAGUUGCUUGAGCUAUGAUGUGCCUUAUCCUGCUAUGCAUGCUAUGCUUAGAGUUGUGUAUGGUCUGUCAUCUGGGAGAUGAACAGAAUUGUGAGAAUGUGUUCGGUAAGCAAAGGUUGUGUGUUGAAUCUGAUUUGGUAAAGGUACCGGUGAAAGGCUGUGUAGGAGUACAUGGCGGGUUGUUUCAUUGGAACCGUCCUUAGGAACUGAGUUCCGUGUAUGUAAUCCAAGACUAGAUACUACCACAUGCUGGGCCCUGAAAUAUGACCCCGCUCGACUUAUUAAUCGCUUAGUACUCGGUCCAGGAGUUGCAAGUAGUUUCUGGUGUUUAUAGCAAUGCUGGAGGCCGUGCAUGGUGCUGACCUGAGAGGUGGACCGUGAUGCGGUAGGCAGUGGCACGGUGUAACAAGUGGCACCCGGAUGGUGGGCUUGGGAACCCUGCGCACAUCGUUUGAGGCCGUGGCGGAAACCUCGGCCGGACUUCCGUACGGGUUACUCUCAGAUAGGCGAUAAACCUGGACUAGGUACUAGUGUGGUUAACGGUCGUGGCCGACUCCCUCGCUGGGCUUCCGCUUGAAGAUUGCCGAGGUGCAUGACGUGCACAUGGCGAUAAGUGGCGAGAGUGUUUGUGACGAAGUACACCCCUGCAGGGUUAUGAUCUAUUCGAAUAGCCGCGUCCGCGGAUAUGGACUACUUGGAGACAUAUGUUGUUCAUAGAUAAUUUCAAUGGCUACUCAUAAAAUUGUCAAGAUAAGCGUGAGUGUCGUGGACGGCAUUUCCGUAUGGAGACGGAAUGAUUCCACGAUAGUGUAUUGUUGUGGUGUUAGUGGACUCGUGUGCGAGAAAUCAAGUUGUCAAAUUUUUUCAAAAAUGCAAGUUGUCUAGCCACGAGUCAAAUGCUGGCUUUCCGCAUGAAACCCCACAAUACCCUUUUGAUACCUUGCAUAAGUAGUUAGUUAUCCUAAAGUCUUGCUGAGUACCUUCGUACUCAUGUUUGCUUAAUAAAUGUUGCAGAGGUUGCUAAUGACCCUAAUGGAGGGUUCUUCGUAGACAUCGACGACGACGAGUAGCUGGUGUCCCAGCUACGAUCUGGCCCUACGUUGGAUCUGUAGUAUAGUCAGGCCAUGUGCCUUCUAGUUGCCCUGUCUGUACUCAGACAGUUUAAACUCUUCCGUUGGCUUGUAAUUGAAUGACUGCUAUUAUGGGUUGUGAGACCCUUAAUGUGUAAUAUUGUGUGUUAGGCUCUUCCGAGCCUCUUAAAUAAAGCUUGUAUGUUUAUGGUUAUGUUGUGAUGCCCUCGAUGUAUCUAUACAUAUCGGUAUGCCAUUCGUACGUGUGUCGUACUUGAUAUGUAUGGGGUUUGAUUACCUAGUCGUGAACUUUAGUAGCCUUCCUUACAAGGAAAUGUCCCUUUGUGAUCCAACGAACCUUGGUAGCUCGCUACUGCUCCGGACACAUUGGUUGACCGGCAUGUGUCCUUCUUAGCUGCUGUGUCUGUCCUCUUUGGGGAAAUGUCACGCGAUGUAAUGGAGUCCUUGUAGCUUGUUACGACUCGUCUACACUCGCUGAUGACCGACACCUGCUUUGUUGGGUCAUGUAUGCCUGUCCUUGCGCGGUACCGCCACUUUGGUUUAUGACUAGACAUGUCGAUCCGGGUUCUUUGACAUUGGAAUGCUAGCGACACUAUUGCAUACGUGAGUCAAAAGACGCAAACGGUCCCGGCUAAGGUAAGGCUGCAGCCGAGGAGUUAACCGUGCGUGAGACCGCAAAGGGAUGCGAUGUGUUACAGGCUAGUUCCUAUGGCUUAGGAUCGGGGUCCCGAUAGCUUUGUGUUGAACUACAACAUGCAAGGGAUGAACAAGUCACCCGGCAAGUUGUUUGCGAUGCUGAAAGCCGCAUAGUCUGAACUCCGUAAAGAGCAUCAAGUGUUGAUGGUGAAUAAGACCACUAGUUUCAAGAGAAACGGCAAAGGCAAGAAGGGUAAUUCAAAGAAGAGCGGCAAGCCUGUUGCCAAUCCGACGAAGAAACCCAAAGCUGGACCUAAGCCUGAAACAGAGUGUUACUAUUGCAAGGGUAUGGGUCACUAGAAGCGCAACUGCCCCAAGUAUCUGGCUGAUAAGAAGGCGGCCAAAGAAAAAUCAGGUAUAUUUGAUAUACAUGUUAUUGAUGUGUACUUAACCGGUUCUCGUAGUAGUGCCUGGGUAUUCGAUACCGGUUCUGUUGCUCAUAUUUGCAACUCGAAACAGGAACUGCGGAAUAGACGAAGGCUGGCGAAAGAUGAAGUGACGAUGCGCGUAGGAAAUGGUUCCAAGGUUGAUGCAAUCGCCGUCGGCACAGUUUCACUUCAGUUACCAUCAGGAUUAGUUAUGAACUUGAAUCAUUGUUAUUUAGUGCCUGCGUUGAGCAUGAACAUUAUAUCUGGAUCUUGUUUAUUGCGAGACGGUUACUCUUUUAAGUCAGAGAAUAAUGGUUGUUCUAUUUCUAUGAGUAACAUCUUUUAUGGUCAUGCACCCAAUGUGAGAGGAUUGUUCAUAUUGAAUCUUGAUAGUGAUACACACAUACAUAACAUUGAGACCAAAAGAAUUAGAGUUAACAAUGAUAGGGCCAUAUUUUUGUGGCACUGCCGCUUAGGUCAUAUUGGUGUAAAGCGCAUGAAGAAACUCCAUGCCGAUGGAUUUUUGGAGUCACUUGACUUUGAUUCACUUGACACGUGCGAACCAUGCCUCAUGGGCAAGAUGACUAAAACUCCGUUCUCCGGAACAAUGGAGCGUGCAAGUGACUUGUUGGAAAUCAUACAUACCGAUGUGUGCGGUCCGAUGAGCGUAGAGGCACGCGGCGAAUAUCGUUAUUUUCUCACCUUCACUGACGAUUUGAGUAGAUAUGGUUAUGUCUACUUAAUGAAGCACAAGUCUGAAACAUUUGAAAAGUUCAAGCAAUUUUAGAGUGAAGUUGAAAAUCAUCGUAACAAGAAGAUCAAGUUCCUACGGUCUGAUCGUGGGGGUGAAUAUCUGAGUUUCGAGUUUGGUGCUCACUUAAGACAAUGUGGAAUUGUUUCACAGUUGACACCGCCUGGAACACCACAGCGUAAUGGUGUGUCCGAACGUCGUAAUUGUACUUUAUUAGAGACGGUGCGAUCUAUGAUGUCUCUUACCGAUUUGCCGUUAUCGUUUUGGGGUUAUGCAUUAGAAACAACUGCAUUCACUUUAAAUAGGGUACCAUCAAAAUCCGUUGAGACGACACCAUACGAACUGUGGUAUGGCAAAAGGCCAAAGUUGUCGUUUCUUAAAGUUUGGCGAUGUGAUGCUUAUGUCAAAAAGCUUCAGUCUGAAAAGCUGGAACCCAAAGCGGAAAAGUGCAUCUUCAUAGGUUACCCAAAAGAGACAGUUGGGUACACCUUCUAUCUCAAAUCCGAGGGCAAAGUGUUUGUUGCUAAAAAUUGAGCUUUUCUCGAGAAGGAGUUUCUCUCGAGAGAAUUGAGUGGGAGGAAGAUAGAACUUGAUGAGGUUGUCGAACCUCUCAUCCCUCUAGAUGGUGGCGCAGGGCAAGGGGAAACCUCUGUCAUUGCGACGCCGGUUGAGGAGGAAGUUAAUGAUGAUGAUCAUGAAAUUCCGGUUCAAGUUCGUGUCGAACCACGCAGGUCGACGAGACCACGUGCUGCUCCAGAGUGGUAUGGUAAUCCCGUCAUGUCAAUCAUGUUGUUAGACAACAAUGAACCUCCAAAUUAUGAAGAAGCAAUGGUGGGCCCAGAUUCCAACAAAUGGCUAGAGGCCAUGAAGUCCGAGAUAGGAUCCAUGUAUGAGAACAAAGUAUGGACUUUGGAAGUACUACCUGAGGGCCGCAAGGCUAUUCAGAACAAAUGGAUCUUUAAGAAGAAGACGGACGCUGACGGCAAUGUGACCGUUUAUAAAGCUCGACUUGUGGCAAAGGGUUUUUCACAAGUUCAAGGAGUUGACUACGAUGAGACAUUCUCACCUGUAGCGAUGCUUAAGUCCGUCAGAAUAAUGUUAGCAAUAGCUGCAUUUUUCGAUUAUGAAAUCUGGCAGAUGGAUGUCAAAACGACGUUCCUUAACGGUUUCCUUAAGGAAGAGUUGUAUAUGAUGCAACCCGAAGGUUUUGUCGAUCCUAAGAAUGCUAACAAGGUGUGCAAGCUCCAGCGAUCCAUUUAUGGGCUGGUGCAAGCAUCUCGGAGUUGGAACAAACGCUUUGAUGAGGUGAUCAAAGCAUUUGGGUUUAUACAAGUGGUUGGAGAAUCUUGUAUUUACAAGAAAGUGAGUGGGAGCUCUGUGGCGUUUCUAAUAUUAUAUGUGGAUGACAUAUUGCUGAUUGGAAACAACGUAGAGUUUUUGGAGAGCAUAAAGGAUUACUUGAACAAAAGUUUCUCUAUGAAGGACCUAGGAGAAGUUGCUUACAUUCUAGGCAUUAAGAUCUACAGGGAUAGAUCGAAACGCCUGAUAGGACUUUCACAAAGCACAUACCUUGAUAAAGUUUUGAAGAGGUUCAAAAUGAAACAGUCCAAGAAAGGGUUCUUGCCAGUUUUACAAGGUACGAGAUUGAGUAAGACUCAGUGACCAGCAACUGAUGUGGAUAGAGAGCAUAUGAGCACCGUCCCCUAUGCUUCAGCCAUAGGUUCUAUCAUGUAUGCAAUGUUGUGCACUAGACCGGAUGUUAGCUUGGCCAUAAGUAUGACAGGCAGGUUCCAGAGUAAUCCAGGAGUGAAUCACUGGACGGCGGUCAAGAAUAUCCUGAAGUACCUGAAAAGGACUAAGGAGAUGUUUCUCGUGUAUGGAGGUGACGAAGAGCUCGCCGUAAAGGGUUACGUCGAUGCAAGCUUUGACACAGAUCUGGACGACUCUAAGUCGCAGACCAGAUACGUAUUUAUUCUUAAUGGGGGUGCGGUAAGCUGGUGCAGUUCCAAGUAAAGCGUCGUAGCAGAUUCUACAUCUGAAGCGGAGUACAUGGCUGCCUCGGAGGCGGCUAAGGAGGGUGUCUAGAUGAAGCAGUUCAUGACGGAUCUUGGAGUAGUGCCAAGCGCACUGAAUCCAAUAACGUUGUUCUGUGACAACACGGGUGCCAUUGCCCUAGCAAAGGAACCACGGUUUCACAAGAAGUCCAGACACAUCAAACGACGCUUCAACCUCAUCCGCGACUACGUCGAAGGGGAGGACGUAAAUAUAUGCAAAGUGCACACGAAUCUGAAUGUAGCAGACCCGCUGACUAAACCUCUUCCACGGGCAAAGCAUGAUCAACACCAAAACUGUAUGGGUGUUAGAUUUAUUACAAUGUAAUUCACAUGAUGAUGUGAGGGCUAGAUUAUUGACUCUAGUGCAAGUGGGAGACUGUUGGAAUUAUGCCCUAGAGGCAAUAAUACAUAUAGUUAUUAUUAUAAUUCCUAUAUCAAGAUAAUCGUUAAUUAUCCAUGCUAUAAUUGUAUUGAAUGAAGACUUAUAUACAUGUGUGGAUACAUAGACAAAACACUGUCCCUAGCAAGCCUCUAGUUGGCUAGCCAGUUGAUCAAAGAUAGUCAGGGUCUUCUGAUUAUGAACAAGGUGUUGUUGCUUGAUAAUUGGAUCACGUCAUUAGGAGAAUCACGUGAUGGACUAGACCCAAACUAAUAGACGUAGCAUAUUGAUCGUGUCACUUUGUUGCUACUAUUUUCUGCGUGUCAAGUAUUUGUUCCUAUGACCAGGAGAUCAUAUAACUCACUGACACCGGAGGAAUGCUUUAUGUGUAUCAAACAUCGCAAUGUAACUGGGUGACUAUAAAGAUGCUCUACAGGUAUCUCCGAAGGUGUUCGUUCAGUUAGUAUGGAUCGACACUGGGAUUUGUCACUCCGUGUGACGGAGAGGUAUCUCGGGGCCCACUCGGUAAUACAACAUCACACACAAGCCUUGCAAGCAAUGUGACUUAGUGUAAGUUGCGGGAUCUUGUAUUACGGAACGAGUAAAGAGACUUGCCGUUAACGAGAUUGAAAUAGGUAUGCGGAUAUUGACGAUCGAAUCUCGGGCAAGUAACAUACCGAAGGAAAAGGGAGUGACACACGGGAUUAUAUGAAUCCUUGGCACUGAGGUUCAAACGAUAAGAUCUUCGUAGAAUAUGUAGGAUCUAAUAUGGGCAUCCAGGUCCCGCUAUUGGAUAUUGACCGAGGAGUCUCUCGGGUCAUGUCUACAUAGUUCUCGAACCCGCAGGGUCUGCACACUUAAGGUUCGACGUUGUUUUAUGUGUAUUUGAGUUAUAUGGUUGGUUACCGAAUGUUGUUCGGAGUCCCGGAUGAGAUCACGGACGUCACGAGGGUUUCCGGAAUGGUCCGGAAACGAAGAUUGAUAUAUAGGAUGACCUCAUUUGAUUACCGGAAGGUUUUCGGAGUUACCGGGAAUGACGAAUGGGUUCCGGGUGUUCACCCGGGGGGGGGGGGGCAACCCACCCCGGGGAAGCCCAUAGGCCUUAGGGGUGGCGCACCAGCCCUUAGUGGGCUGGUGGGACAUCCCAAGAAGGCCCUAUGCGCCAUAGGAAGAAAAUCAAAGAGAAAAGAAAAAAAAAGAGGAGGUGGGAAAAGGGGGAAGGACUCCUCCUUCCAAACCUAGUUGGACUCGGUUUGGAAGGGGAGGGUUGGCCCCCUUGGCUCGGCCGAACCCCUUGGGGGUCCUUGGACCCCAAGGCAAGGCUCCCCCUCUUCCCCCUAUAUAUACGGAGGUUUUAGGGCUGAUUUGAGACAACUUUGCCACGGCAGCCCGACCACAUAUCUCCACGGUUUUACCUCUAGAUCGCGUUUCUGCGGAGCUCGGGCGGAGCCCUGCUAAGAUAAGAUCAUCACCAACCUCCGGAGCGCCGUCAUGCUGCCGGAGAACUCAUCUACCUCUCCGUCUCUCUUGCUGGAUCAAGAAGGCCGAGAUCAUCGUCGAGCUGUACGUGUGCUGAACGCGGAGGUGCCGUCCGUUCGGCACUAGAUCGUGGGACUGAACGCGGGAUAGUUCGCGGGGCGGAUCGAGGGACGUGAGGACGUUCCACUACAUCAACCGCGUUCACUAACGCCUCUGUUGUGCGGUCUACAAGGGUACGUAGAUCGAAUAUCCCCUCUCGUAGAUGGACAUCACCAUGAUAGGUCUUCCUGCGCGUAGAUUUUUUUUGUUUCCCAUGCGAUGUUCCCCAACAGCUAUGUGGGUGAAAUGNNGAUACCAUGCCAACUUGAAACCUUUUCAGAGUUNNNNNNNNNNNNUUUUCAAUUUCAUGGUCUUAUAGAUCAAAAUAAUUAAUAAAUGCAUGAAAAAUNNNNNNNNNNNNNNNNNNNNNNNNNNNNNNNNNNNNNNNNNNNNNNNNNNNNNNNNNNNNNNNNNNNNNNNNNNNNNNNNNNNNNNNNNNNNNNNNNNNNACGGUUUCAUACGGAAACUCGUCUGUUAUAAAGGGAUUUCAUUUUNNNNNNNNNNNNUGAACUCCAUAGUUUUUCGGUGUUCAAAAUGCACCAUNNNNAGCCACAUCAUCAAUUUGAAACCCUUUCGGACUUCAUUUGUUAUUUUUUUGAUGCGUUUACAGAUUAUUUUGAGCUAUAAGACCAUGAAAUUGGAAAGCAUUUGAAAUGAACUCUGAAAAGGAUCCAAGUUGGCAUGGUAUNNNNNNNNNNNNNNNNNNNNNNNNNNNNNNNNNNNNNNNNNNNUACGGCAAAAACUGGAUGCANNNNNNNNNNNNNNNNNNNNNNNNNNNNNNNNNNNNNNNNNNNNNNNNNNNNNNNNNNNNNNNNNNNNNNNNNNNNNNNNNNNNNNNNNNNNNNNNNNNNNNNNNNNNNNNNNNNNNNNNNNNNNNNNNNNNNNNNNNNNNNNNNNNNNNNNNNNNNNNNNNNNNNNNNNNNNNNNNNNNNNNNNNNNNNNNNNNNNNNNNNNNNNNNNNNNNNNNNNNNNNNNNNNNNNNNNNNNNNNNNNNNNNNNNNNNNNNNNNNNNNNNNNNNNNNNNNNNNNNNNNNNNNNNNNNNNNNNNNNNNNNNNNNNNNNNNNCUUUCGAAGUAUCAUGGUUUCAUACGGAAACUCGUCUGUUAUAAAGGGAUUUUAUUUUUUUGAACUUACUUGAAUUCCAUAGUUAUUCUAUGUUCAAAAUGCACCAUUCAAAACCACAUUAUAAAUUUACAACCCUUUGUGACUUCAUUUGUUUUUUUUUUAUGCAUUUACUGAUUAUUUCGAGCUAUAAGACCAUGAAAUUGGAAAGCAUUUGAAAUGAACUCUGAAAAUGUUCCAAGUUGGCAUGGUNNNNNNNNNNNNNNNNNNNNNNNNNNNNGAGAAAGUUGAGAGGGGUACGGCAAAAACUGCAUGCACUUCGUGUACAAANNNNNNNNNNNNNUUCGAAGUAUCAGGGUUUCAUACGGAAACUCGUCUCUUACUAAGGGAUUUCAUUUUUUUGAACUUAUUUGAACUGCAUAGUUUUUCUGUGUUCNNNNNNNNNNNNNNNNNNNNNNNNNNNNNNNNNNNNNNNNNNNNNNNNNNNNNNNNNNNNNNNNNNNNNNNNNNNNNNNNNNNNNNNNNNNNNNNNNNNNCUGUUCGUGCUCGCUUUUAAUAUUAGUUACCUUGCUGUUUUUGUAGUUUCAGAUUACAAAAACCUAUAUCUACCAUCCAUAUUGCACUUGUAUCACCAUCUCUUCGCCGAACUAGUGCACCUAUACAAUUUACCAUUGUAUUGGGUGUGUUGGGGACACAAGAGACUCUUUGUUAUUUGGUUGCAGGGUUGCUUGAGAGAGACCAUCUUCAUCCUACGCCUCCCGCAGAUUGAUAAACCUUAGGUCACCCACUUGAGGGAAAAUUGCUACUGUCCUACAAACCUCUGCACUUGGAGGCCCAACAACGUCUACAAGAAUAAGGUUGCGUAGUAGACAUGACACCUCACCUGCUUGCCUCCACUUGAAGCCGUCAAGAGUUCUUUCAAGUUGAUUGAAAGCAAAGGAAAAUAUGUGAUUGAUGAAGGAAAUCGGCCCCUUGAUGGCUAAUUUCACAAAGAUGCGUCAUACUCCACCAAUGACGACACUUCCUCACAAGACUCAGCUCCGAGAGGCAAAACCCCUACUCCAACUAUACCGCAUAUGAUGACUGACCGCUAGCUCUUGCUCAGUCUUCAUCAUAUGGUUGAUCGCAACCACAAAUACGUAAAUCAUCGGUUUGGUGCCACUGUGAAAUACCUCAAUGCAACUCGGAAUGCAGUGAAGAAAAUCACUAUUAUCUUCAUGAGAUCUUCGACCGCACAUGGGCCAUUCCGUCUCACCUCAAGACUUCCGAGGAACUCACUGAAAUGGAGUUCCAACAAGACUUCGAUUGGUCCUGGCCGCCAAAGAAUAAGUUCAAGAAGAUUCCAGUUCCUCAACUAGUGGCCAACGCAUUUUCCUCAAUGCGCACAACUGAUGACGUUGAAGACCUUGACGACACUGCUAUGGUGAACGACCCCAACGCUCCUGCUCCACCAACAAAGUGAUAUUCUUCAAGGGCGUUAGUCCUCAGUUUCAUAUCUUUUCGCCACUUGAUGACAAAGGGGGAGAAAUCUGAGUUAGUCUUCAAGCGGGUCUACUUUAUGGGCUUUUGAACAAUAUUUUCUUGAAGUUAAAACUCUCAUUCUUCUGAAGUGUUUGGUUGUAUGAGUUGUAAACUUAUGUCCAGUGGCGGUCUCACACUUUUGAACCGUUUUCUUUCAUGCUUAUUACUCAUGAUGAUUAAUGCAUGCAUGGUGAAAUUCGUCAGAGUCCACUCUCCAUCAUGCAUUUCAAUUUCCUCAAGCUAUAUGUCAAAUGCUUGCAUUGAUUACAAGAUAUAGGGGGAGAUCUUCAUGGUAUAAAUACUCAAUGUGCAUUUGCAGUCCAAAGAAAAUUCCUCAAAUACGCACAUCUUCACGGGGAGUCUCUCUAUAUCUUGCAUUCAAAUUUCUCAAACUGUGUACUUAUACUUUAUAUUAUUAUCCCCGUUGAAAACUCAACCUGUGUGUCAUCAAUCACCAAAAAGGGGAAGAUUAUGAGUGCAUCUAGUGCCACUUAGUGAUUUUGGUGUAUUGAAGACUUAUAGGUUAAGGGACUGGUAUGUUUGUGAGUGUACAUGGGCUCUAUAAGUCACUGAGGAUUUUGAGUUAUUCGAAGAAUAUCGACCCCUAAAAAUGUAUGUCUUUGGCUGAAGACUUUGGUAUUUCCUAUGAAGACUCUGGAAGUGAGGAAAUUGGUGUGUCCACGAAGAAAUCGAUUUGAAGACUCUAAAGCAUAAAAACUUUUAUUUUCAUAGUUUCAUUUUCGGCAUUCUCUCUCAUAGGACCACUGUGCUAUUAAAGGGGGUCGAGGUAAAACUAAGAAAAAGUUUCCAAGUGAUUCUCAUCUCAAAUCCUACACAUUCAAACCCUUCGGAUGAAGCCUUUGGAAAUCUUCAACAACUUAGACAAAUUCUUAAUGACACACACGAAGAUCUUCUAGUCUUUGAGGAAUUUGCUCUAACUCAGGAGUUAGGUCUUCGCCAGUGCGAAUCACCUAUCUGUUAGGACAUCAGUGACAUGAGGACUUUCAUAGCUGAAACAUUCCGACCGAGGUCGUGCUGUGCGUCGGCUGUCCCCAACCUUAUCCAUCUAACAGUCAUAUCAUUGGGGCAUUUAUGUCAAUUCAUGUCGGGAUUGAUCCCUGGCUAUAAAUAGCCGCCCCCAUAGCCACUAGUUGGUUCGUUGCUCCACGAGAGAAACUAGCACUUGUCAUUUGAGAGCAACCCACUCCUCGAAGACUUUGAGAGAAAAUCAUCAGUGAGGAAAAAACCCAAACACCCAAACCAAAACCCAAAACCCAAAGUGAUUGAGCACCGGGUUCUAAUUCCUCAACCCUUUCAUUUCCUCAAUUGUAUAUUGAUGACUUUGAUCUUUACUGUUUGAAGAAUUUGACUGAAUACUUUCGCAAAUUCCUCACCUCAAAUUCUUCACUAAAUUUAUUCAUCACCUGCUUAUCCUGAUCACGCUACCUGUGCCACCUAAACAUUUCAUUUUACUCCGACGACUAAGCUAUCGUUGGUUUUGCACAUAUGUUUGAGUACUUAUUCCGUUGCACUCAGUUCAUGAGUGAGGUCUUUCCUCACUAGGAAUUUCUUUAGUGAUGAAUUUGUAAAAAUCGACUAAUCACCCCCUCUAGUCGAUAUAACGCACUUUUACAGCUGAACGGAGGGAAUACUAUUAUAGCAUGACGGGUCGUCUUCGAGAUGACAAAACUUGAACAUAUGCACUAUGCCUAGCUAGGGGCAUAAAACGAUAGCGCUAGUUGGGAGGCAGCCCAAUAGUUAUCUUCCUAUUUUUGUUUUCACUUUCUGUUUGUGUGUGAUAACAUGAUUGUUGCCUGUGUAAUGGUUGUGUUUUUGUGUUAGCGUAUGUGCCAAGUAAAGUCUUCGGGAUGAUUUGGAUAAUGGUGUAACUAAUGCGGUGCAAAAAUUGAAAGUUAGCAUCUAGUGCAGAAUUGUUCUGAUUUUACUGGAAUAUCGCUUUGAUGUAUUGUUUUUACACAAUAUUUCUAUACAAAUUACCCAGGUCUUCCUAAUGUUUUAGAAUUUUUGGAGUUCUAGAAGUACGGUACUUAACUAUAUCAUUACAUGAUGUUCUCUUUUAGACAUAUUCUGUUCUUUGCUUGCAUAGUUUACUUGCUUUGAUGAUUAUAUAUAUAUUUUGCGGGGGGUACAAGUCAUGGAGAAGUUACAAUACAGAACUAAUGAAAUAAUAAAAUAUUAAUAAAUUCAUAAUAAUACCUAAAGUAUUUGAUAUGUUUAUUAUUACUAAUGGAUCUCACGAAGUUUGUGUAGAGUUUUGUGUGCUAAAGUUUUCAAGUUUUGGUUGUUAUCGCAAUGGACGAAGGAAUAAAGAGCGGCAAGAGCCUAAGCUUGGGAAUGCCCAAGGCACCCCAAGGUAAUAUUCUAGGAAGACUCAAGCGCCUUAGCUUGGGGAUGCCCUGGAAGGCAUUGAUACGUCUCAAACGUAUUUAUAAUUUUUGAUGGUUUCAUGCUGUUAUCUUGUCAACUUUGGAUGUUUUAUAUACCUUCUAUAUCUUUUUGGGACUAAUUUAUUAAUUCAGUGCCAAGUGCCAGUUCCUGUUUUUUCUGUGUUUUUGACUCUUUUCAGAUCUGAUUUUGGAACGGAGUCCAAACGGAAUAAAAUCCCCGAAAUAAAUUUUUCCAGAACAGAAGAAGAUCGGGGGACUUGAGGGCCAAGGCACGAGAGCCACAGGGGGCCCACAAGCCGUGUAGCCGCCACCAGGGGGGCGGCGCUACCAGGCUUGUGGCCCCCCUGGAGCUCCCCUGCCCUAGCUCUUUCGCCUAUAUAUUCCAUAAAAUCCCAGAAAAAAUCAGGGCAUCCACGAAAACACUUUUCCUCUGCCGCAAGCUUCCGUUUCCGUGAGAUCUCACCUGGAGACCCUUCCCGGUGCCCUGCCGGAGGGGACUUUGGAGUUGGAGGGCUUCUACAUCAGCAUCAUCGCCUCUCCAAUGGCUCGUGAGUAGUCCACUUCAGACCUACGGGUCCGUAGUUAGUAGCUAGAUGGCUUCUUCUCUCUCUUGGAUCUUCAAUACAAAGUUCUCCAUGAUCUACAUGGAGAUCUAUUCGAUGUUAUCCUUGUUGGCGGUGUGUUUGUCGAGAUCCGAUGAAUUGUGGAUUUGUGAUCAGAUUAUCUAUGAAUUAUAUUUGAGUCUUUGCUGAUUUCUUAUAUGCAUGAUUUGAUAUCCUUGUAAGUCUCUCCGAGUCUUGGGUUUUGUUUGGCCAACUAGAUCUAUGAUUCUCGCAAUGGGAGAAGUGCUUGGUUUUGGGUUCAUACCGUGUGGUGACCUUUCCCAGUGACAGAAGGGGCAGCAAGGCACGCAUCGUGUUGUUGCCAUCAAGGAUAACAGGACGGGCUUUCAUCAUAGAUUUGAGAUUGUCCAUCUACAUCAUGUCAUCUUGCUUAAGGUGUUACUCUGUUCUUAUGAACUUAAUACACUAGAUGCAUGCUGGAUAGCGGUGACAUGUGGAGUAAUAGUAGUAGAUGCAAAAAGUAUCAGUCUACUUGUUUUGGACGUGAUGCCUACAGAUAUAAUCAUUGCCAUAGAUGACGUCACGACUUUGCGCAGUUUUAUCAAUUUCUCGACAGUAAUUCGUUCACCCACCGUAUACUUGCUUUCAUGAGAGAAGCCACUAGUGAACACUACGGCCCCCGGGUCUAUUCACAACUAUCGUCUUCGCUUUCACUUUUACUUUGAUUUGUUUACUUUUUUCUUUCAGUUCUCACUUUGCAAACAAUCUAUAAGGGAUUGACAACCCCUUCAUAGCGUUGGGUGCAAGCUCUUUGUGUUUGUGCAGGUACUUGUGAGUUGACGCGAUCCUCCCACUGGAUCGAUACCUUGGUCCUCAAACUGAUGGAAAUACUAACCGCCGCUGUGCUACGUCACCCUUUCCUCUUCAAGGGAACACCAACGCAAGGCUCCAAGGCCGCGGGGAAAUCCUUUGCAUAUUUGCCAAGGAAAUCCCUAUAGGCGUAGCCCGUAGCAGCAGGAUUCCUGGCGCCGUUGCCAGGGAAGGUCUCUUGUCGCAGUAGCAGAAGGAUUUCUGGCGCUGUUGCCGGGGAGAGGAUCGCUUGCCGAGGAAGAUCAAGACAAGAAUAAUCUCCCCCACUUCACAUUUGCCAUUUUCAUUUUCCUUUCUGGCGCCGUUGCCGGGGAAGAGAGAUCAAGUCAAGAUCUAUCCAAGUAGGUGUCACAAACUCAUCUCUUGCAUUUACCUUUUUUGCCAGUUGCCUCUCGUUUUCCUCUCCCCCACUUCACAUUUGCCAUUUUCAUUUUCCUUUCUCCCUUGCCGUUUUCAUUUGCCUUUUUUGUCGUUUUCCUUUGCAUGUUUUCUUGCUUACUUGUGCUCUUGUUGGUUUGUUGAAGUCAUCAUGGCUGAAAACACCAAACUUUGUGACUUUUCGAGUACUAAUAAUAAUGAUUUUAUUAGUACUCCGAUUGCUCCCGCCACUAGUGUCGAAUCGUAUGAAAUCAACGCUGCCUUGUUGAAUCUUGUUAUGAAAGAGCAAUUCUCUGGCCUUCCUAGUGAAGAUGCCGCAUCCCAUCUCAAUACCUUCAUUGAGCUUUGAUAUAUGCAAAACAAAAGAGAUGUGGAUAAUGAUGUUGUUAAGUUGAAGCUUUUUCCUUUCUCGUUGCGAGAUCGUGCGAAAACUUGGUUUUCUUCUUUGCCUAAAAAUAGUAUCGAUUCUUGGGAUAAGUGCAAAGAUGCUUACAUAUCCAAGUAUUUUCCGCCGGCUAAGAUUAUCUCUCUACGUAACGAUAUCAUGAAUUUCAAGCAACUUGAUCAUGAACAUGUUGCACAAUCUUGGGAGAGGAUGAAGUUAAUGAUUAGAAAUUGUCCCGCUCAUGGCUUGAGUUUGUGGAUGAUUAUACAAAUCUUUUACGUUGGUUUGAAUUUUGCUUCUCGCAAUAUCUUGGACUCCGCCUCAGGUGGAACGUUCAUGGAAAUCACGUUAGGAGACGCUACAAAACUCCUAGACAAUAUCAUGACCAACUACUCUCAGUGGCACACUGAAAGGUCACCUGCUAGCAAAAAGGUACACGCUAUAGAAGAAAUUAACUCGCUUAGUGCUAAGAUGGACGAGUUGAUGAAUUUGGUUGCUAGUAUAAAUGCUCCUUUAGAUCCUAAUGACAUGCCACUAUCUUCCUUGAUUGAGAGUAGCAACGCUAGUUUGGACGUUAAUUUUGUUGGUAGGAACAAUUUUGGCAACAAUAAUGCUUUUAGAGGAAACUAUGUUCCUAGGCCUUUUCCUAGUAACUCCUCUAACAAUUAUGGCAAUUCCUACAACAACACUUAUGGAAAUCAUAAAAAAUUACCCUCUGAUUUAGAUAGUAAUAUCAAAGAGUUCAUUAACUCUCAACAGAUUUUCAAUGCGUCCAUAGAGGAAAAACUACUCAAAAUAGACGAUUUGGCUAAGAGCGUUGAUAGGAUGUCUUGUGAUAUUGAUGCUUUGAAAGUUAGAUGUGCUCCUCCCAAGGUCAACUUGGAUGAAACUUUAAAAGCUAUGCGUAUCUCCAUGAAUGAGAGCAAAGAAAGAACCGCCCAAAUUCGUGCUAGGCAUGAAUGGUUUAAAAGGGUGCGUUCUAGUGAUGCAAAUCACGAAGAUCUUAAUGUUCUUGGUGUGACUCCUCUUGAAUCUUCGUUUUCGCGUGUCAAACCUAUUGAUGAAGGGGCUGGAUAUGAAUCCACUUUGGUUGAAAAACGCCCCAAUGAUUUGGAGUCCACCUAUCUUGAUGAUAAAGGUGUGGAGAGUGGAGUAGAAGAAAUCAAAAUAUUGGGUAGUAAUGAAACUCCCACUUUGGAUUUCAAGGAAUUCAAUUAUGAUAGUUGCUCCUUGUUUGAAUGCAUUUCUUUGAUGCAAUCCAUUGCAGGCUCUCCACAUGCUUAUAGCCAAAGCAAAGCCUUUACCGCACAUAUCGUAGGUGCUAUGAUGAAAUCUCUUGAAGAGAAACUCGAAUUAGAAGUCUCUAUACCUAGAAAACUUCAUGAUGAGUGGGAACCUACUAUCAAAAUCAAAAUCAAAAACUAUGAAUGCAAUGCUUUGUGUGAUUUGGGUGCUAGUGUUUCCGCGAUACCAAAGUCUUUAUGUGACAUUCUUGGUUUUCAUGAGAUUGAAGAGUGUUCUCUUAAUUUGCAUCUUGCGGAUUCUACUGUCAAUAAACCCAUGGGAAGGAUCGAUGAUGUUCUUAUUGUUGCAAAUAAGAACUAUGUACCCGUGGAUUUCAUUGUACUUGACAUAGAUUGCAAUCCUUCAUGUCCCAUUAUUCUUGGUAGACCUUUCCUAAGGACUAUUGGUGCUAUCAUCAAUAUGAAGGAAGGGAAUAUUAGAUUUCAAUUUCCUCUAAAGAAGGGCAUGGAGAAUUUUCCUAGAAAGAAAAUAAGAUUGCCUUAUGAAUCUAUGAUGAGGGCUACUUAUGGUUUGAGCACCAAAGAUGACUAUACGUGAUUCCAUCACCUUUUGCCUAGCUAAGGGCGUUAAACAAUAGCGCUUGUUGGGAGGCAACCCAACAAAUCUAUACUUUUUCUUUCUGUUUUGUUUUUUCCACACUUUCAUAAUUCUGUUAUGAUUGUGUUUUUGUGUUUCUUGUUGCGUUUGUGCCAAGUAAAACCGUUAUGAUUAGUCUUGGGGAUGAUCGUUUGGUCAUGCUGGAAAAGACAGAAACUUUCUGCUCACGGAAAUAAUUUUCUUUUCUUUGUAAGAUAUUUUGUGUUGAUUCUUUUUGCUGCUGAUUGCUACACAAAUUCUUCGGACUGUCAUAAUUUUUCAGAAUUUUUGAAGUACCAGAAGUAUACGAACUAUAUAGAUUGCUACAGACUGGUCUGCUGUUAACAGAUUCUGUUUUUGUUGAGUUGGUUGCUUAUUUUGAUGAAACUAUGGAUAGUAUCGGGGGUAUUAGCCAUGGAAGAUUGAAAAUACAAUAACCCAACAUCAACAUAAGUAGAAUUUAAGUUUGCUACAGUACCUAAGGAAGUGGUGGUUUGCUUUCUUAUACUAAUGAUAUCACGAGUUUCUGUUUAAGUUUCGUGUUGUGAAGUUUUCAAGUUUUGGGUGAAGUUCUUAUGGACAAAGAGAUAAAGAGUGGCAAGAUCUCAAGCUUGGGGAUUCCCAAGGCACCCCAAGUUGAUUCAAGGAUGCCGUAAAAGCCUAAGCUUGGGGAUGCCCUGGGAAGGCAUCCCCUCUUUCGUCUUCAAUCCAUCGGUAACAUUACUUUGGGCUAUAUUUUUAUUCACCACAUGUUAUGUGUUUUGCUUGGAGCGUCUUGUAUCGUAGGAGUAUUUUAUUUUUGUUGUGUCACAAUCUUCCUUGCUGCACACCUAGAGAGAGAGACAUGCACUCACCGUGAUUUUGUCGAGCUUCACUUAUAUCCUUUGGUUAGACAAUUCAGCUCACAUGUGCUUCACUUAUAUCUUUUGAGCUAGUUGAUUUUGCUCUAUGUGCUUCACUUAUAUCUUUUAGAGCACGGAAGCGCGUGGUUUGGUAGUUGGCUUAUGCUAUGAAAGUAGUCUCAAAAGGGGUAGUUAUCCAAAGGGAUAUGAAAACUUCCAUCUUCAUGUGCAUUGAAUUGUUAGAAAAGUUUGAUUCCUCUCAAUUAGUUUUGAGAUGUGGUUGUGGUAAUAUUUAAGUUAUGUUAGUAUGGUGUUGUGGAUCUAGAAAUACUUGUGUUAAAGUUAGUGAUUCCCGUAGCAUGCACGUAUGGUGAACCGCUAUGUGAUGAAGUCUGAGCAUGAUUAGUUUAUUGAUUGCCAUCCUUUGUGUAGCGGUCGGGAUCGCGUGAUGGUUUAUACCUACCAACCCUUCCCCUAGGAGUAUGCGUUGAAUGCUUUGUUUCGAUUACUACUAAAACUUUUGGAACAACUAUAUGAGUUCUUCAUGACUAAUGUUGAGUCCAUGGUUUAGAUGCACUUUCACCUUCCACCAUCACUAUCUUCUUUAGUGUCGUGCAACUUUCGCCGGUGCACAAAACCCACCAUUAGCCUCCCUCAAAACAGCCACAAUACCUACCUACUAUGGCUUUUUCAAAGCCAUUCCGAGAUAUAUUGCCAUGCAACUACCACCAUGACAUGUGCCACAGCUUCUACAUUGCCAUUGCAUGAUCGGAAGAUAGCUAGCAUGAUGUUUCCAUUAAUGUCUAUGCCAUGCUAGAUCAUUGUCACGGUACACUACCGAAGGUAUUCCAUAUAGAGUCAUCAUUGCUCUAAGUUUUGAGUUGUAAGUGUGAUGAUCAUCAUUGAUGGAGCAUUGUCCCAUGUGAGGAAAUAAAAGAGGCCAGCGAAGCCCAUUUACAAAAAGAGGCCAAAGAUGCCCACCAAAAAAAAUAAAAAUAAAAUAAAAUAAAGAGGCCAAAGAUCCCACCAAAAAAAUGAGAGAAAAGAGAGAAGGGACAAUGCUACUAUCUCCUUCCACACUUGUGCUUAUUAAGCACCAUGAUCUUCAUGAUUGAGAGUCUCUCGUUUUGUCACCACCAUAUAGCUAGUGGGAAAUUUUCAUUAUAUAACUUGGCUUGUAUAUUCCAAUGAUAGGCUUCCUCAAAAUUGCCUUAGGUCUUCGUGAGCAAGCAAGUUGGAUGCACACCCACUAGUUUUCUUUAAGAGCUUUCACAUACUCUUAGCUCUAGUGCAUCAUUUGUAUGGCAAUCCCUACUCAUUCGCAUUAAUAUCUAUUAAUGAGCAUCUCCAUAGCUCAUUGAUAUGCCUAGUUAAUGUGACCAUCUUCUCCUUGUUUGUCCUGCAACCUCCACCACACUCCAUCCCACUUGUAGUGCUAAAACCAUGGCUCACGCUCAUGUAUUGCGUGAGAGUUGAAAAAGUUUGAGAAAGUAAAAGUGUGAAAACAAUUACUUGGCCAAUACCGAGGUUGUGCAUGAUUUAAAUUCGUUGUGCAAGGGUGAUAGAGCAUAGCCAGACUAUAUGAUUUUGUAGGGAUAACUUUCUUUUGGCCUUGUUAUUUUGAAAGUUCAUGAUUACCUUGCUAGUUUGCUUGGAGUAUUAUUGUCUCCACGUCAAUAGCAAACUAUUGUUUUGAAUCUAAUGGAUUUGAACGUUCACGUCACAUAAGAGUAGUUACAAAGGACAUCUAUGCUAGGUAGCAUGAAAGCAUCAAAAAUUCAUUCUUUAUCACUUCCCUACUCGAGGACGAGCAGGAGUUAAGCUUGGGGAUGCUUGAUACGUCUCAAACGUAUCUAUAAUUUUUGAUGGUUUCAUGUUGUUAUCUUGUCAACUUUUGAUGUUUUAUAUACCUUUUAUAUCUUUUUUGGGACUAACUUAUUAAUUCAGUGCCAAGUGCCAGUUCCUGUUUUUUCUGUGUUUUUGACUCUUUUCAGAUCUGAUUUUGGAACUGAGUCCAAACGGAAUAAAAUCCCCGAAAUAAUUUUUCCAAAACAAAAGAAGAUCGGGGGACUUGAGGGCCAAGGCAGGAGAGCCAUAGGGGGCCCACAAGCCCUGUAGACGCCACCAGGGGGCGGCGGCUACCAGGCUUGUGCCCCCCUGGAGCUCCCCUGCCCUAGCUCUUUCGCCUAUAUAUUCCAUAAAAUCCCAGAAAAAAUCAGGGCAUCCACGAAAACACUUUUCCGCCGCCGCAAGCUGCCCUUUCCGCGAGAUCUCAUCUGGAGACCCUUCCCGGUGCCCUGCCGGAGGGGACUUUGGAGUUGGAGGGCUUCUACAUCAAGAUCAUCGCCUCUCCAAUGACUCGUGAGUAGUCCACUUCAGACCUACGGGUCCGUAGUUAGUAGCUAUAUGGCUUCUUCUCUCUCUUGGAUCUUCAAUACAAAGUUCUCCAUGAUCUUCAUGGAGAUCUAUCCGAUGUAAUCCUCUUUGGCGGUGUGUUUGUCGACAUCCGAUGAACUGUGGAUUUGUGAUCAAAUUAUCUAUGAACUAUAUUUGAGUCUUUGUUGAUUUCUUAUAUGCAUGAUUUUAUAUCCUUGUAAGUCUCUCCGAGUCUUGGGUUUUGUUUGGCCAACUAGAUCUAUGAUUCUUGCAAUGGGACAAGUGCUUGGUUUUGGGUUCAUACUGUGUGGUGACCUUUCCCAGUGACGGAAGGGGCAGCAAGGCACGCAUCGUGUUGUUGCCAUCAAGGGUAACAAGAUGGGCUUUCAUCAUAGAUUUGAGAUUGUCCAUCUACAUCAUGUCAUCUUGCUUAAGGCGUUACUCUGUUCUUAUGAACUUAAUACACUAGAUGCAUGCUGGAUAGCGGUCGACGUGUGGAGUAAUAGUAAUAGAUGCAGAAAGUAUCGGUCUACUUGCUUUGGACGUGAUGCCUAUAGAUAUAAUCAUUGCCAUAGUAAUUCGUCACCCACCGUCUACUUGCUUUCAUGAGAGAAGCCACUAGUGAACACUACGGCCCCCGGGUCUAUUCACAACUAUCGUCUCCACUUUCACUUUUACUUUGCUUUGUUUACUUUUUGCUUUCAGUUCUCACUCUGCAAACAAUCUAUAAGGGAUUGACAACCCCUUCAUAGCGUUGGGUGCAAGCUCUUUGUGUUUGUGCAGGUACUUGUGACUUGACGCGAUCCUCCCACUGGAUCGAUACUUUGGUUCUCAAACUGAGGGAAAUACUUACCGCCGCUCUAGUACAUCACGCUUUCCUCUUCAAGGGAAGACCAACGCAAGGCUCCAAGGCCGCGGGGAAAUCCUUUGCAUAUUUGCCAAGGAAGUCCCUAUAGGUGUAGCCCGUAGCAGCAGGAUUCCUGGCGCCGUUGCCAUGGAAGGUCUGUUGUCGCAGUAGCAGGCAUCCCUUCUUUUGUCUCAAUCCAUCGGUAUGUCACUUGGAGCUAUAUUUUUAUUCAUCACACAAUAUGAGUUUUGCUUGGAUCAUCAUUUGCUUUAGUUUGCUUUUUUCAGUUUUACACAUUCAUCAUUCUCUUAAUAAACCUAUUUGAGAGAUACACAUUAUCAUCAUGAUUUAUUAGAAUACUCUUUGUGCUUCACUUAUAUCUUUGGAGCUUAGCAGUUUCUCUAGUACUUCACUUAUAUCUUUCAUAGCACGAUGGCGUAUAGGUUUUAUAGAAAUAUUUGCGCUCUCGUUCUUCACUUAUAUUUAUUUGACAGUUAUUUAAUAGCGACGGUAAUUUGCAUGGGUCAUAAGACUAGUUCAAAAAUAAUAAGUAUUCAAUAAGCGCAUAAUCGAACCACAUGUAGCACAUAAAACAGAAAUCAUGGUUAAUGAUAUUAAUGUGUUAAUGUGAUAAAGCAUGAGUGCAUGAUCAUUGGUUAAUAUAGGUAUCGUGAAUUAGAGGUGUUAACUUGUUGUUCAUAUAAAUAUUUUUAUGGCAUGGUGAUGAUGUGUGAGCAUACUUAUUCCUCGUUAAAAUCAUAGUAUUGUUUAAGUUGGGGACGCACAAUGGUUAACUCCUACCAACCUCCUCCCUCGGGGCAUGCGAGUAGUGCUUUGCUUUGAGAGACCUAAUUAAAUCUUGAAAUAAGUGUGUGAGUUCUUUAUGACUAAAGUGAAUCCAUGGAUAUACACACUCUCACCUCCACAUAUUCACUAGCCUUUUCGGUACCGUGUAUUGCCCAUUUUCACCUCGAGGAUCGGUGCAACCUUCGCCGGUGCAUCCAAACCUCGAGACAUGAUACCGUGUGUUGCACAUAAGCCUCAUUAUAUUUUUCUCAAAACAUUCACCAUACCUACCUAUCAUGGCAUUUCCAUAGCUAUACCGAGAUAUAUUGCCAUGCAACUUUCACUCUCACAUCAUAUGACUUAUACUUCCAUUGUUAUAUUGCUUUGCAUGAUCGUAAGAUAGCUAGCAUGAUAUUUACAUGGUUUAUCCAUUUUUUGAUAUCUGUUACUAUCCUAGAUCAUUGCACAUCCUAGUACACUUCCAGAUGCAUUCAUAUAGAAUCAAAUCAUCCUAUCAGUUUUUCAUAUUGAGUUGUAAAAAAAUAAAGUGCGAUGAUCAUUAUUAUUAGUGCACUGUAUCAGUGAGGAAAGGAUGAUGGAGACAAUGACUCCCCCACAAGUCAGGAUGAGACUUCGAACAAAAAAAAAGAAAAAAAGAAAAAUAAAAAAAGUACAAAAAAAGAGAAAGAAAAAGGGAAAAAGAAAAGGUAAAAAAAAAGAGAAAAGAGACAAGGUACAGUGCUACUACCUUUUAUUCCGCACUUGUGCCUCGAAGUGGCAGCAUGUUCUUCAUAAAGAGAGUCUUCUGUUUUGUCACUUCCAGAUGCUAGUGGGAAUUUUUCUUUAUAGAACUUGUCUUGUAUAUUCCGAUGACGGGCUUUCUCAAAUGCCCAAGGACUUCAUGAGGAAGUAAGUUAGAUGCACACCCACUUAGCAUCAGUUGAGCUUUCAUACACUUAUAGCUCUAGUGCAUGUGUUGCAUGACAAUCCCUACUCCUUGCAUUGAUAUCUAUUGAUGGUCAUAUCCAUAGCCCGUUGAUACGCGUAGUUGAUGCGUGACUUCCUUCUCCACUUUCACCCCUUUGAAAUCUACCAACAUAUUCUAUUUCACCUUUAUGUUGUAUCCAUAGUUCACGCUCAUAUAUUGCACAAGUAAUAAAAACUGAAGCGUGUUAAAAAGUACGAUCCAAUUGCCUAACUUGACACCGUGGUGCUUAACAUUUGUAUUUAUAUGGUGAGAACGGAGCAAUGCUAUAUUUAUAUGAUUAAAUGAAUACGGGGUGAACAUUCUUUAAGGAUUAUAUGCUUUGAAACUUGAUGAUUAUUUUGCUUAUUUUUUAUAAGCAUUACUAUGAUUGAUGUUUAUUAAUUCAUUGUUUCUCAAUGACUAAACCUACAAUAUAUUACAUGUUGGGUAGCAUGUCACAUCAAAAAUUCUGUUUUUAUCAUUUACUUACGCGAGGACGAGGAGGAAUUAAGCUUGGGGAUGCUGAUACGUCUCCAACGUAUCUAUCUUUUUUUUGUUCCAUUCUAUUAUAUUAUCAUUCUAGGAUACUUUUGGGGAGUUUAUUUACCAAUUAAUAUUAUUUUUGAGCACUAACCUAUUAACCCAGUGCUGAGUGCCACUUGCUGUUUUCUGCACGUUUUUGGCUUUUCAGGUUUACAGUACCAAAAUUUUUGGUCAAUUUUCCUAUACCAAAAGAAGACGUGGAAGUUUCGGGAGGAGACUAGAGGAGUCACAAGAAGGAACGAGCCAACCAGACAUGACCACGGGGUAGAGCGCGCUUGUUUGUAUCAUGCUCCCCUCGGAUGCCUCCUGGUGCCCCUCUAUGGUCUAUAAGUUCACAUAUAUUCCAAAAUCCCUAGAGAGCCCCCGAAACAGUUUUUUCAUCGCUCCAAGUCUCUGUUCCGCUGUGUGCCCAUCUGGAUCCCUGUUCCGGUGCCCUGUCGGAGGUGGUAUCGACCACGGAGGGCCUCUACAUCAUCCUUGUUGCUUUCAUGGUGAUGUGUGAGUAGUUCACCACAGACCUACAGGUCCGUAGUUAGUACCUUGAUGGCUAUCUCUCUUUCUUAAUCUUCAAUACAACAAUCAUCCAAUCGUCGCUUUGAUCUAUCUGAUGUACUUCUCUUGUGCGAUGCGUUUGUUGGGAUCCAAUGAAUUGUGCAUUCACGUUGAGAUUAUCGAUGAUAAAUAUUUGAGUCUUCUCUAAAUUCUAAAUAUGAUACUUAUGUGCAUGAUCAUUGUAGCUUCAUAAAUCUCUCCGCUCUAUUGAUUUGCUUUGGUCAAGUAGAUUGAUCUUUCUUCAGUGAGAAGGGUGCGUUGUAGUGGGUUAAAUCUGACGAAUUUCUAUAUCCUACUGAUAGAAAGGGGACAAGAUACGUCUUUGUAUUGUUAUCAUUAAGGAUAAAACGACGGGGUUAGUUCAUAUUAAUUGAAUUCUAUUUGUCUACAUUAUGUCAAUGUUUUUCAAGCAUUACUGUGUUUUACUUAAUAGUCUAGAUGCAUGAUGGACAACGGUCGAUGGGUUGAGUAAUAUUAAUAGGUGCAGGGAGGAGUCGGCUUGUUUUUUUAUGGACGUGCUGCGUAUAUACACAUGAUGAUAGUCGUGAAUAUCACAAAAAUAUGCAAAAAUCCAAAUAUGCUCCGAGGCUCAUCUCCUUCCGCCAACGAAAAAAAUUAAAAACAAAUACUAGAAAAAACAAAAAAAAACUCUAAAAUAAUUUUGUUUGGUAGAUAUUUUGAUGUGUGAGGUCCACUUCAAAUUUCAACUUAUUUGGACAUCUGAGCAGCUUUCGGCAAAAAAGACAAAUAGGGUCAUAACACUUCAUGCACACUAAACAUUUUGUACAUACCCCGAUUUAACUUUUUUGCUGAGAGCUACUCAGCAGUCCAAAUAAGUUGAAGUUUUGUGCAUUCCUCACGCACCAAAUUAUCUACCACGCAAAAAAUGGAUAUUUUUGAAUUUUCUAGUAUUUGUUUUCAUUUUUUUCGUCAGUGCAGGUGCAGAUGAGACAGAGAGCAGAAACACCGCUCUCAUAAAUAUGUGAUUUUUUAUCAAUUGCUCAAGUGUAAUUUGUUUACCCAUCGUAUACUUGAUUUGAUGAGAGAUGCCACUAGGGAAAACUAGGCCCCCGGGGGUCUAUUCUCUUAUAAGUUUACAAAUGCUACAAUACCUUGCUAUUCUUAUUUACUUUUAUUUUAUUUUAUAAUUUAUAAUUAUCUACUACCAACCACACUACUUACAAACUUGCAAAUAACGAGUUCAAGGCGAUUGAUAACCCUCUUGCCCGUGUUGGGUGCGAGUGUUUGCUCUUUUGUGUGUAGGCGCUGAAGACGGGGGUUGGUUGUUGCUCCUAUUGGUUCGAUAAACCUUGAUUCUCUAUUAAGAAAAAUACUUACCUAUAUUAUGCUGCAUCACUCGUUUCUCUUUACGAAAACCCAACGCGGAUCACAAGCAUCAACAACCAAACACGUCCUUGAAUCACUUGUGUGUCGUGUUUGGCAUGAUUGUUUUUAUUACCAGCAUGAAUUCGUGGCAUUGGUUUUACCCUUUCAAAAGAAAAAAAAUAAAAAACAAAACAAAUUCAAAAUAAAGAAGUUUUCUAAGAAAGAAUGAAAUGUUUUAAGAAAAACAAAUGAAAAUAAAAACCAUGAAAAACUUGCACACAAUUUGCACUGAAAUUGCACUUUUUGAAAUAUGCAAAGAAUAAUCAUAUAUCAGUGCAAUUUAUACAUUCAACUAUAAGUUACAAACAUAUUAUUUAGUAUUUGCAUUUAUACUUACACGGUAAGAAAUACGUUUUCUAAGAAGGAAUGAAUUAUUGGCAUUUAUAUUACCCUGAAGAAUGAGAGUGAAAAUAAUAAAAAAUAAUAGUGAUAAUAUUGGCACACAAUUUAUACAGAAGUUGCUGUUUUAAAAAUAUGGAAGAAUAAGCAUAUAGUGGUAGAAUUUUAAAAAAGGAUAUUUAAUAAGAAGUAAUGAAUUCUUGACAUACUAACAUUGAUAUUACCCUUAAAGAGGAAAGAUGAUAAGAAUAUCAAACUCGAAAUUAUUAAACUACCAAAAAAGACUAAAUUACUGGCAUUGAUACUACAAUUUAAGAAGAAAGAAAAUGGAAAAAGAACCUAAAUCCAAUAGUGACAAAAUUUAGAUAAAACAUACACACAGAUGCGCUUUUUAAAUAUAUGCAACAAUAAGUAUGUAAAAUUGAAGUUUACACAAAAAACACAAAAAAUGAAUGAAUUAGCGGCAUUGGCAUUACCCUUAAAGUAGAAUGAAAAUGAAGUAAAGACUACAACAAAUAUAAAAAUAAUGAUUUUUUCUGAAAGAGAAUGAAUUAAUGGCAUUCGUAUUUCCUUUAAGAAGAAAAGUAAAUUUUAACAAAAAAAUACACACAACUUUGCACCGAAAUUGCAUUUUUUAAUAUAUAUAAAUAAUAAUCAUUUAAUCACAUAAUUUUGGCACAUACUCCCUCUGUAUCAAAAUAUAAGACAUUUGUUACACGAUCGUUGUAUCAAAAAACGUCAUAUAUUUUGAUACGGAGGGAUUAUUAUGUUUUAUUUCUGUGUGUGUGUGUGUGUGUGUGUAUGUAUAUAUAUAUAUAUAGACUCAACAACAUCCCAAAUGUACUCAUAAAACAAAAAACAAAAAAUAACUACCAAAAAGAGAGAGAAAAAUAAAAACAAAAACGCAUAAAACAUAAAAUAGAAAAAUAAAGGAGAAAGAAGAAGGCUAUGUCGCACUGGAAUGGGCUUUGGCCCGUUAAAUAAUUGACUGGCCCAAAUAUGUGGUCAGUCAAAAAAAAACCCAAGAUAACAAGCAGACUAACUUAGAAAAAAAUGUACACGAAACUUAAAGUUGAAAUCAACGGCCCAAAUAUUGACUAAUCCAACAUUAAUUUUCAGGCAACUUAUUAUUAUUAUUUUUCAGGAAAAUGCGUGUUUAUUUUUCGGAAAUAACGCUACAGUCAGCUAAUACAAAAUCUAUGGCCAUGUCUGAAUCAUGGUGUAAUCAACAAACGGUGCUACCUCCAGUUACGUGUGUAUAACUAAAGUGUUGUCAUUAACCAUCCUUGGUGGUCACCCGCAAAAAAAACAUCAUUGAUGGUACAUAGUAGUUCCUCUGUUUCUAAAUAUUUUCUGUAGCAUUUCCUCUGUUUCUAAAUACUUUUUAUUGGGAGAACUAGAUUAGUUUUUUGCAAUAAUAAAUAUUGUGAUAGAGAGGAAGUAUUAAUUAAGCUAAGCUUUAAGCACUGUCGGUUAAAUAAAUCGUCCACUUGGCAAUACCGUCUUACGGCGAAACUGGCACGCCGUGCAGGCCAGGGUUUCGGGAAAGGAUCGAUGGUUGCUCCGGUGGCCGGAGCUACAGAUAGACAUCGCAAGUGUCGGGCAGCCGUCUUAAAGUAAAUGCACGCAUCGGCUCUUCACGUCCGUUUCCCGCCGCACGUCCUUAUCCGUCAUGAAUUUCGGAGACUUUGCCCCCUCAGCCCCUCCAAGUAACUCGCCGUCUAUGGUCCUGUUUCUUUAAAAAGUCCUAAGAUUUUUUAAGUCCAACUAAAAACUCUCUAGUUCUUACCCGUUUCUUUUCAGAGAGUAAAUAUGGACUAGAGGUCAUUAAAUGACAUGCAAAAAGACCAUGUUACCCCUAGUAAUGUACUAGAAAUUAUUAAAUGACAUGCUAAAAGUAGGGGUACUAUUGAAAAAAGUGAAAAAAAAAGUCCCAAAAAGACCCUCCCAUAGGGACUUCUUCCUUUAGUCCCAAAUACCCCUUUUAAUCCCUAAAAGUCCCUCAUGUUUCUUUCACAUGGGACUAAAAGAAACUUUUUUUAGUCCCUACAACGAAAAGUCCGUGUAAAGAAACACCCCCUAUAUUACCAUCGGAGACCACAACACCACACCACGACGAAUCACCUUGAUCAAGCUGCCCUGAGGUCGUCAGUCAUCACCACUCAAAGUAAGAGGGUGCUUGGAUACGUUUUAGUUCCAUGACUAAAAGUAAUGGGACUAAAACUUGCUAGCCUCAUCCAUGCUUGGAUCCAAAUACUAAAUACACUAAAAUCAAGUUAAUGAGCAUUUAUUAUCCUCCAAACCCUUCAAUCCAGAACUCGUCUGUGUUAAAGGAGAGGAGUUAAAUGAGGAGAGAGAGGACUAAUCCACAUUUUAGAGGGGUACCCCUGACUAAAAUUUUAGCCCCUCUUUAGUGAGUGAUGCUUGGAACUUUAGCCUGCUAAAUAGACUAUUUUUAAUCAGACNNNNNNNNNNNNNNNNNNNNNNNNNNNNNNNNNNNNNNNNNNNNNNNNNNNNNNNNNNNNNNNNNNNNNNNNNNNNNNNNNNNNNNNNNNNNNNNNNNNNNNNNNNNNNNNNNNNNNNNNNNNNNNNNNNNNNNNNNNNNNNNNNNNNNNNNNNNNNNNNNNNNNNNNNNNNNNNNNNNNNNNNNNNNNNNNNNNNNNNNNNNNNNNNNNNNNNNNNNNNNNNNNNNNNNNNNNNNNNNNNNNNNNNNNNNNNNNNNNNNNNNNNNNNNNNNNNNNNNNNNNNNNNNNNNNNNNNNNNNNNNNNNNNNNNNNNNGUCUGAUUAAAAAUAGUCUCUUUAAAAGGCUAAAGUUCCAAGCACCCAUGAAUAAAGAGGGGCUAAAACUAGUCUUGAGACUAAUUUUUUUUAGCCAGAGGUACCCCUACUAAAAUGUGGAUUAGUCAUCUCUCUCCUCAUUUAACUCCUCUCCUAGAACAUAGGCGAGUUCUGAAUUGAAGGGUUUGAAGGAUAAUAAAUAAUCAUUAACUUGAUUUUAGUCUCUUUAGUAUUUGGAUCCAAGCAUAGAUGAGGCUAGCAAGUGUUAGUCCUACUACUUUUAGUCAUGAGACUAAAAUAUAUCCAUGCAUCCUCUAAAAUAAGGCCCUUGGAUCCAAGCACCCUCUAAGAAAAAGAGGGUAGCAACCGACCGACAAGCCACAAACCAAGAGGGACGCACGCGUAUACGUACGUAGGUUAUGUACACACAACAAGAAGUGAUUAACGAUGUGCAGCGAUGCAAUCCUCGCCGAGCUCAUACCGAGCGCGCCGGCAAGGCGCAUCUCGACGGUCCACCUCUUUCCCAAGCAGCGGAGGGUCGACAGCUUCGAGGCUGCUUUCAAGCGCUUCGACGAGGACUCUGAGGAGGAGGAGGUGCUCCAGUGCGCGGGUUUCGAGUUUGGCGCCCACAGGCAGCCGGCAGCGAGGCCGGCGCAGUUCAGAGGCAUCCGGCGCCGGCCGUGGGGCAAAUGGGCGGCAGAGAUCCACGACCCCAUCAAGGGCGUCCGGGUCUGGCUCGGCACCUUCCCCUCCGCCGAGGCCGCCUCGCACGCCUACGACGCCGCCGCCCGCAGGGACGAUUCUAGGGGGACGAGGGGGGCUAGACUCCCCUAACAAAUUCAUUUUUCUACUAUAAUAGUGAUCAUUGUAGCCAAAAAAAAUGAAUUAUAUGAAUUUUGCCUCCUUCAUGUAUAAACUAGCCUCCCUAUGCUUGCAUGCUCGCUCCCUCCCUGGCCGCCCGCGAUUUUAGCGGCGCCAACGCCAGGCUCAACUUCCCCUCUUCGUCCACGAGCGCACCCAUGCGCCGCGUGGCCGCGAAGGCGACGCCAUGCCUUGUUGUUGACCUCGUCGAUGACGAAGAGGAUGAUGCCGAAGCAGUUGAUGCCGGCGGGAUGAGCUCCGGAUCCAGCGGCACCCUGCCAGUCUUCUCAUGGCAGGGCAGGUCCACGUCCAACGAGAUCAUGGCGCAAUAUGUUCAUGCUAAAGUGGAGUCCGGCCAGUCCGUCGUCGACCUAGGCAGCGCCAAGAAGCGGCCCCGGCUUGAAGCCGACGCGGUUCUGCCGGCGGUGUCCGACGAUUCCGCCAACAACCAACUGUUAGACCCUUUCCUGUUUGACCAAUUCAGUUUCUUGAACAGCAGCUCGUACGGGUGGCUAGAUAGCCUGUUCAGCGCCGAUGUCGCGAAGAUCGAUGACGGGCAGCUGGGGUUAUGGACCUUUGGCGACGAUGACCAUCUCGCCGAGGACAAAGCUCGGCGCGUGCAAGUUUUUUUUUUUGAAAGAUCCAGCUUCGAAUGCUGGCAUAUAUAAAACAUAGCAGGUAGAAAUGCGGUUAUAAAAGGGGCGGGGGAUACGAUCGAAAGAUCAAGGAGAAAAUCGUGAGAGAAAGGAAAAAAAUGGGAGAGGAAAAGAACAGAGCAAGUAGAGUAGUAGUGUAUCAUCAAAGACGACAUGAUAGGACACUCGCAAGCGUGUGACAGUGUGAGGCUCCCCCACACCUUGUUGAUGAUCUUUCUUUCAUCGAAUGAACAAAUAAAUAAAUAAGGGCGGUACUGGGCCAGUGCUCGCGGCGGUCGGAGCUCAGUCGUCAAAUUCACGGACCGCAUCGUUUGAUCUUCAAUUCAGCAAAAAUUCCUCGAUGCAACAAAUUUUGAUCACGACGUUGCAAAUUUCGUCCACGGUUGCAAUAAAAGUAUGAUUAUAUCAAAAAAAUAUCAACGUGGUCGUAAGAAAAAAACGACGCUGAUGAUGCGUGGUAGCAAAACAAAAUGUGGUUUAUAGCAAAACAAUCCGGUGAACUCGGUUUGUAACUCUCACGAACGUGUAUGCAACUUUUCGUGAAUGGUUGCAACAAAAAAUGAUACCUGUUGUAGCAAAAAUUAACACGGUUGUAACAAAAGUCAAACGCCGGUUGUAGCAAAAAAAAAUCAAACGAACUCGAGUUACAACCAAACAUGAAUGUAACUUUUUUAGUGAACAAAUUAUAGCAAAAUGAGAAACGAUUGAAGAAAAAUUAAACGUGGUUGCAGCAAAUCCGGACGAAAAAAUGUUGCAAGCCCUGGCCAGCCAGCUGCGCGCGACCGGCCGAACGAUUCGGCUGGCGCGUCGGCUGGAAAGCGUUUCCCAAUAAAUAAACGGCUUUGCUAAAAAUUAGUCGCGAAGUCUCAGUCGAUACUAUAGUCCGUUGAUUUUGCAUUGAGAUUCGUGCAAAUAAUAUUUUUCCUCAUUUUUUUUCUUUUUGCAUAUUAUAUUACUUGAGUGAGACUUCUGUCGACUGAGACCUAGACACUUCCAUAAAUAAAACACCUUGUUGAUGAUGUAAAAACUUCGUAGUUUUGGAUUUCUCGUGUCCGACUUCAACGUAGUAAGUCGUUUCUGUGCAAAAAAAUAGCAGACCUGCCCAUUUGUGUUUAUGGCAUCCCCUAUAAGUACUUGAUACUUCUUGUCUGCCUUUCUUCCUACUUUUGUACCAACAAUGCAUGUUCUUAAUACGCAAACUAAAUAGUGCAUAUUUAUUUUUCACAAUAAGUUCAUUUUCCUAAGUUUUCAUGUUGCUCUUUAUCUUGGACAUAUCGGAUUAUUUACUAGGUCCAUGAGGCAUGCUAGUGCACUAGCUUGUAAAAAAAACGUUGUUAUCAAAGAAGGAGGGUGCUACGCGGAUUGAACAAUUUCGUUCUAUUUGUCUGUUAAACGUUAGCUUCAAUUUUUUUUACGAAGGUGGGAACGGAUAGGCUAAUUAAGAUGGCCCAUUCGGUGGUGCAAUCUACGCAGACAACCUUUAUGCCUGGACGUAACAUUCUAGAAGGGGUCGUGGUCUUACAUGAGAUGCACUCCAAAAAACUUGACGGGGUGAUAUUCAAAGUAGAUUUUGAAAAAGCAUACGACAAAGUGAAAUGGUCUUUUCUGCAACAAACCCUACGUAUGAAGGGGUUUGGUGAGAUAUGGCAAGCAUAUCGACUGUUUUAUAAAAAAAAAGGAAGUAUCGGUAUCACAGUAAAUGAUGAUGUGGGUCAUUUCUUUCAAACACUGAAGGGUCUCACACAAGGUGAUCCUAUGUCUCCUAUUUUAUUUAACAUUGUUGCAGAUAUGUUGGCACUCAUGAUCAGGAGAGCCAAUGAGAAGGACCUUAUAGGGGGACUAGUACCACAUCUUGUAGAUGGGGGUGUCUCUAUUCUACAGUAUGCAUAUGACACGAUCCUUUUCAUGGAACAUAAUUUUAACAAGGCCAGAAACAUGAAACUCAUCUUGUGCUUAUUUGAAUAGCUAUCUGGGCUGAAGAUUAAUUUUAACAAAAGUGAACUGUGUUGCUUUGGAAAUGCCAAAACAGAACAGCACACUUAUAAUCAACUGUUCGGCUGUGAAAGUGGUAAUUUACCUUUCACGUACUUAGGGAUCCCUAUCCAUCACCGAAAGUUGACAAAUAAGGAGUGGAAAUGUAUCGAAGACGGAUUUGAAAAAAAAUUAAGCUACUCGAAAGGCAAGCUUUUAUCCUAUGGAGGACGUUUGGUACUUGUUAAUUCUGUAUUAUCAAGCAUGCUCAUGUUUCUUCUAUCCUUUUUUGAAGUACCAGUUGGGGUGCGAAAAAGGUUGAAUUUCUAUCGGUCUAGGUUUUUCUGGCUGAGUGAUGAUGUCAAGACCAAGUAUAGGCUUAUUAGAUGGUACAUAAUCUGGAGACCAAAGGACCACGAAGGUUUAGGGAUUGAGAAUUUAGAGGUUAAGAACAGAUGUCUGCUCAGCAAAUGGUUGUUCAGACUAUCUGUGGAAACAGAAGGUAUGUGGGUAUAAAUUCUGAAGAACAAAUACUUACAACACAAGACCUUAGCUCAGGUCACCACAAGAUGAAGUGACUCUCCUUUCUGGAAGGGUCUGAUGAAGUCUAAAACUGCAUUUUUCAAGAGGACUAGGUUUGUCAUCGGAAAUGAUUAAUUAACUAGAUUCUAGGAAGAUACAUGGCAUGGGGGGAGCCCUUGGCUCUUCAGUAUCCGCAACUUUACAAUAUUGCCCAACAUCAACAGGUGUCCGUUGCGACAAUAUUGCGUGACAAUACUCCUCUAAAUAUUCAGUUUCGUAGAGCCUUGAUUGGUGACAGACGGAUUAGCUGGCUGUAUCUAGUCAGAAGGCUGAUGGACAUCAGCCUUUCUGACUGCCCUGAUAGUGUUCAAUGGAGGUUGACCACUAAUGGCAUAUUUAUUGUAAAAUUUAUGUACGUGCACCUCAUAGAUUCCGCGCUUAUUCCAAAAUCCAUGCAUAUAUGGAAGGUCAAAGUUCCCCUUAAGAUAAAAAUCUUGAUGUGGUUUGUUCACAAAGGAGUUAUUUUAAACUGAUGAUAACUUGGCCAAGCGUAAUUGGAAAGGAAAUUAAAAAUGCAGCUUUUGUCAGAAUAAAGAAACUAUUAAGCAUCUCUUUCUAGAUUGUCCUAUGGCUAAACUUUUAUGGUGCUCGAUUCAUAUCGCUUUCAACAUAAGCCCUCCUACUAGCAUUAACACGUUAUUUGGGUCGUAGUUAAAGGGGGUUAAUGUUUAAUAUGCUAAACUUACUCGGUUUGGUACAUGUGCACUAUUCUGGGCUGCAUGGAACUGCAUAAAUGAUUUAGUGUUUAACACACAAAGCUAUAUUCACUUUUUGCAGGUUAUCUUCGGGGCUACUGUCUUGAUCCGCACGUGGUCCUUACUCACUCCUGCGAAAGGCGGUGAGCCUUUGGUUACUGGGUGUGCCCGAUGGAAGAUGAUAGCUCAGGGUAUCUUCAACCAAUUUGGAUGACGACAUAUUAAUAGGAUAGGUGGAUAGUCAUCUAAGCCUAUUUCCAUUAUCGGUUGCGGCGCGAUAGACGCCUUGUAUCUUUUAUUUUUUUCAAGACCGCUAUGUACUUGGUUAAGACUGGUUUCGUGUUUAAUAAAAGGUUAUAUGCAUCACUCGAUGCAGAGGCCAGGACGAUGCCUCCUUUUCUAAGAAAAGAAAUCAUGACAUCGACAUAGUACAUACUUCUUCCAUUCCACAAUGUAGUGCGGCCGCGCUUCCUAAGAUUUAAAUUUAAUUAUAAAUUUCACCAAUGAGACUCACUGCGACUAUAGCAAAAAUUAUACCAUUGNNNNNNNNNNNNNNNNNNNNNNNNNNNNNNNNNNNNNNNNNNNNNNNNNNNNNNNNNNNNNNNNNNNNNNNNNNNNNNNNNNNNNNNNNNNNNNNNNNNNNNNNNNNNNNNNNNNNNNNNNNNNNNNNNNNNNNNNNNNNNNNNNNNNNNNNNNNNNNNNNNNNNNNNNNNNNNNNNNNNNNNNNNNNNNNNNNNNNNNNNNNNNNNNNNNNNNNNNNNNNNNNNNNNNNNNNNNNNNNNNNNNNNNNNNNNNNNNNNNNNNNNNNNNNNNNNNNNNNNNNNNNNNNNNNNNNNNNNCAAUGGUAUAAUUUUUGCUUCCAACGCAAUCAUUUUUGUUGGUUAAAUGUAUGGUCAAACUUAGAUCCUAGAAAUUACGGACGCGGUACAUUGUGAAAUGAAGGGAGUAUCAGUUUUCCUCAAUGUUGGCCACUCGUGUGUCGUAAUUGACACGAGGUCUUGUGGAGUGGAUACUUCAUAGUUCUUCACCUCAACGGGAGUGUACCAGGUGUGUUUCUUCCACUACAAUCAUGACCUUUUCUCUCCCAUGGUGAUAGAAGGACAUCUAGUUCGGCAGAGCGAGUUCCCAUUUUUUUUUUCUAAGCGAAGCUAAAAUAUUUGCCUUUUGAUUAAUUGAGUAAGGACAGUUGUAAGAUUCAAGAACCAGAGGUUUUUGGCCUCAUCCUACCCCAAAAAGAUAAAGGCAUAAGAACAUCUCUAGCAUACCCGUAUAAUUAUCGAAACUGUAAAAUUUCGAUGAUUAUACGGAUUUGGGCCGUUUUUACUACUAGACUAGCUACUGUAAACACGGUCCGGUCCGUAAUUUUUUUGCGGUGGCACGUAAAUUCGACCCCUCGACCACUAUAUAUGCGGGUUCGGCCGCUGGAUACGGGUCGAAACCCCAUCCCUCCGCCGCAGUAAAAAAUCCCCAUACCUCACCGCCGUCGCCUCAGAUCCGUCGCCGCGCGCCUCCAUUCCGCCGUCUAGCCGCUCCAAUCCACCGCCCAAGAUGGCCAACUCCACUGGUCGUGGCAACGACGACCCCGAGAGGGGUUGUCGCAUCAGAUCCGACGCCACAGGGAAGCGCGCCGCCCGACGGUACAUGUAGUGGGGCCUGACAGCGCCGCCGUCGCUCCUCCAUCAUGAGACAGAGGAGUACGGCAGCGCGCGCGACCGCCUCUUCUCCAGUAGCUCCUCCGAUGCGUUGAGCGCACGCUCGCGCUCCUCCCUCCCGAGUGAAGAGGGAGCUAGAGGAGCUCCCGCCGGUGAAGAUGGAGCCGGAGGCCGUGACGGGGGCGUCGUUGGACCAGAGGACUUCCUCCCCCCCCCCCCCCCCCCCNNNNNNNNNNNNNNNNNNNNNNNNNNNNNNNNNNNNNNNNNNNNNNNNNNNNNNNNNNNNNNNNNNNNNNNNNNNNNNNNNNNNNNNNNNNNNNNNNNNNNNNNNNNNNNNNNNNNNNNNNNNNNNNNNNNNNNNNNNNNNNNNNNNNNNNNNNNNNNNNNNNNNNNNNNNNNNNNNNNNNNNNNNNNNNNNNNNNNNNNNNNNNNNNNNNNNNNNNNNNNNNNNNNNNNNNNNNNNNNNNNNNNNNNNNNNNNNNNCCCCCCCCCCCCCCCCCCCGGCGGAGGGGAACAACCUUUUGCCCGCGUUGCUAACGCGCACUUCACGGGAGGCGGAAGAGGACCGGCAACGUCGCCUAGGAGAUCGACACCAUGCUCUAUAAGCAGGGUGUCGCGUCGGCCCUCGCCUUCGGCGACAAGGUUGAGGAGUGGCGCUGCGAAGCCACUGUACAGGAGCGCAUCUAUAUCGAACUCUCCGACGACGANNNNNNNNNNNNNNNNNNNNNNNNNNNNNNNNNNNNNNNNNNNNNNNNNNNNNNNNNNNNNNNNNNNNNNNNNNNNNNNNNNNNNNNNNNNNNNNNNNNNNNNNNNNNNNNNNNNNNNNNNNNNNNNNNNNNNNNNNNNNNNNNNNNNNNNNNNNNNNNNNNNNNNNNNNNNNNNNNNNNNNNNNNNNNNNNNNNNNNNNNNNNNNNNNNNNNNNNNNNNNNNNNNNNNNNNNNNNNNNNNNNNNNNNNNNNNNNNNNNNNNNNNNNNNNNNNNNNNNNNNNNNNNNNNNNNNNNNNNNNNNNNNCGACGACGACGACGACGACUGAGCGUUGCCGCAUCAACUACCACACAAGCUCCGCUGAGCUCAAUUUUACGUAGUGCGGUAGGGUAGUUAUUAGCUACGGUGAGCUUCGGUAGGGUUAGCUUAGCUCUACCUCCUUCUAGUACUUGUGCAGAAUGGAAUGUAGUAUGUAUGAUCAUGUAGUAUGUGAUGAAACUAUGAAUGAGUGUGGUUGCAAUUUCACCCGUGAAAGUUUGUUUUUUAAAUUAUGCAGUUUUAUAUGCGGGGUCUGUCCUCCAGCGCAGGAUUUCGUCCCGCAAAACCCCGCUUCAUCGAACUGUAAAUGACUUUUGCGGAUCGUAAAAAUGCGGGGUCUUCUAGAGAUGCUCUAAACAGAAUACUCACAUUAUAAAUGUUUGCCAAGAUGCUUUGUAGAUGUUAAGCCCCACAUUUGGGCUUCUCUAGUUUUGUCGAUGAGGACAGUCCAUAACAUACAUUUGCUUUUGAAUUCCUAGAUUUCUUUCCUAAGUUCCAAAGUAAUGAGCAUAAGAAUGGAGGCCAUGGCCAUACGAUCUAGUAUUGUGGUUGCUGAUCAUCCAGGUCCACCGAUCAUGAACCGAAGGUGUUGCGAUACAUAGAUGAGGCUGAACACAAGACAUAAUCAAGCCAUGCUUUAGUAGUAGACCACACACGCAGAGAAAACCAACCGGCAGGAAGAAAUAUGUAUUGGUCAGAUUCCGGGGCGUGCAAGCAGAGGAGGCAAACCCCAUGAUUUGGCCAGCGCCCACGCUGAAGAUGAUCGACGUUCCAAAUCAUGUUAUGAAGUACUUCCUCCGUUCCUAAAUAUAAGACCUUUUAGAUAUUGCACUAUAAACUACAUACGGAUGUACAUAAACAUAUUUUAGAACGUAAAUUCACUCAUUUUACUUCGUAUGUAGUCUUCUAGUGGAAUCACUAAAAGGUCUUAUAUUUUGAAACGGAGGGAGUACAAGUCAAGCAAAAAAUUGCUACAAUGCAGUCCUCAUGUUAGUUUGUGUGAGUGAGGUUGACAUGUUUUUGUUGCACUCGUAAUGCCGCGGGAGCCACUGAACUUGGGGUCGUUUGUACCGAUCUAUUUGUGUAUACUUGGCUUUUGAUGUAUAGAAGUUUGUCAUAUCAUCAGUGAUUAAUUGGAAAAUAAUUAACGUAGACGGAUAAACAUUGAACCCGCUAAAGAAGAACAGAAAUGCUAUCAAGCGAACGUUUGAUUUCUGGCAAUUCCAAGCGAAUGCUUCGGUUACCAUUCGUCUCCUGGCACGAAUCAUGGCGCAUGGCUGGUGCACAUCAAGUUUUCUGAAUCGUUUGCUCUAACCAGUUUCCUGGAGAACGCCCCCUCUUUUUAUUCUUCCCACUUUAGACUCAAAGUUGUUUUGUGAACACAUGUGGUAGAACUUUCUAUAUGUACUUUGAAGCUAAAAUGACCGGAAUUCAACUUUUCAUUUUGAAAUUUUCGGCCAAAGAAAAAUCCAAAAUGGCCAAAACAAUUCCAUCUUUGUAAGAGAAAAAAUCCCUAUUUUUGCCAUUUAUAACUGAAAUUCCAAAAUUUGUCAUGUUUUUUAGAGAACAAUUUUUAAAAUUCUACAUAUCUUUUAGACGAGAUUUUUUUUCCUAAACUUGCGACGUACAAUUUUAUUAUAGGUAUCAUGACAAUUUCAUUUACUUAGACCAUAUCAUUUGUUUCCAUAAUCCCAUGCCAAUUUUUUUAAUUUUACCAUGGUAGUUGUUUUGUAGAUACCAUGUCAAUUUAAUUAAUUAAACCAUGGUAGGCAAUUUUGCAGUUAGACCGUGACAAAAGAAAUUCAGUUAGAUCAUGUAAAUUAUAUUAGUUAGGCCCUGUUUGGAUACACUCAGAUUAUAUAAUCCGGUUUUUAUAAUCUAUUAUGUCUCCAAACAGGACAGAUUAUAUUGCAGUUUAUAAAAACUAGAUAGCCAGAUUAUUAAAAACUCAUAAUCUACUCUACCCCAGCUAAAAUCAGAUUAUGGAUUACUAAUGACCCAUCACCCUUGGAAACUUGGAGAUAAUUACCUACUGCCACCGCCAUCGUCCUCCAAACAUGCCCAUCUAGAUUAUUACCUUUGCAGUUAAAAAACAGAGGACAUACAUGUCAUUGUACAAUAUAAAAUCUGGAUUACAGUUUAUAUAAUCUGGCCUCCAAACAUGCCCACCUAGAUUAUUUUUAUAAACCAGAUUAUAUAAUCUAUCUUCAUAAUUCAGAUUAUUAUAAUCUAUUAUGAUUCCAAACAGGGCCUUAGACCAUGGCAAUUUUAUAAUUAGACCAUGUCGAUUUUAUCAGCUAGACCAUGACAAUUUUAUUGUACGUACCAUGGCAAUUUAAACUUUUCGGCUAUGUCAUUUUCAGUUUAAAUUUCAGGUAGCACUUUCAGUUUGCGAUUUGAUAAUUUUGUUACUUUAGCUGUCGUCAUUUCUAUGCUAAAUAACAUGGCAAUUUGUGUGUGUUUUCAAGAUGUCAUUUAGCAUCUGAAUCCUGAAAAUGGCCAAAAACAACUCAGCAUAUAAACAUUUUUUAUAUUAAGUAUUUUUUUAUCUACAUCAUGGAAUUUCUUUUUUUGUCUAUGUAAAACGGAAUGGUGUUGGGUCUAGCUAGAGGCCUAGUAGAGGCUCUGGCUGACGUAAGGUUCCCGGUAAAUUAAAAAGUUUGCACGAUGGGGUUCGUCAUAGCGAACCAAACCUUCACACAGACGAGGAACCCCUCCCGGCCUCCCCCAAUGACGUCUUGGUAGCCAAUGUUGGGAUCCAGAAAGAAAAGGUCUUGUAAGCUUCGAGUUAACCUUUAUGCGGACGACGCUGUCAUCUUCGCCAACCCUGACAGGGGAGAGGUCGACGCCCUGUUACAAAUCCUGCGGGAUUUCGGACAAGCCGCGGGCCUUCACGUAAACCCGGCUAAGUCAACCGUCUCUGCUAUCCGUUGCGACGAGAUCAACCUUCAUGACGUCCUAGCAAACUUCGGUGGAUAGACGGUGGGCUUCCCGGUGAGGUACCUAGGCCUUCCUUUAACUCUAGCUAGACUGCGUUUGGUGCACAUCCAAUACAUUCUCGAUAGGAUUAGAGCCCGGCUGACAGGAUGGAAGGGCAAGCUCAUGAACAUCGUGGGCAGACGUGUUCUAGUUCGUAGCGUUCUGACCGCUUUGCCAACUUUCACCCUUUAUCUGCGGCGAGUGCCGAAGAAAUUCUUAGACGACAUAGACAAAGUUAGAGGACGCCUCCUUUGGGCCCAGGAGGAGCAGAUUUCUGGGGGAAAAUGCAAAGUCAGCUGGCCUAUGGUUUGCUCACCAGUCGACAACGGAGGCCUCGGUAUACUAGAGCUGCAACACUUCUGCAAAGCACUUAGACUUAGGUGGCUAUGGCUGUCCUGGAUAGCCCAAACAGACCAUGGAUUGGCACGCAGCUGCCAUGCGACGACGGCGGUAGAUCUCUCUUUGGCGCCUCUACGACAGUCACAUUAGAAGAUGGGGCAACGACAUCUUUCUGGCACUGCUCCUGGACGGAAGCAGGAAACCUAAAAACAGAAUUCCCAAUGCUGCACAAACACUCAAGGAAAAAGAACCGAUCCGUAAGAGAGGCACUUCAAAACGAGACUUGGAUAGCUGACCUCGCCCAUGGAGACACAACACAUGUCUGGGCCGAGGCAAUCAGACUGCACAGAUGGUUGCAGACCAGAGAGUUACACCUCCAGGAGAACACAAGGGACACCAUCAGUUGGAUACACGAGGCUUCAGGAGUAUACUCCGCCAGUUCAGCAUAUAAGGCCCAGUUCCAGGGCUUGACAAAAUCAUCUUUUAGGAAUCUUAUUUGGGCUACUUGGGCGCCAGCUAGAUUAAAAAUAUUCACCUGGCUGCUCCUGAGAAACGGACUUUGGUGCAAUGAUCGUCUAGAAAGAAGAGGAUGGCCAAACAGAUACUUCUGCCAACUAUGUCUCCGAAACCUCAAAUCGGCAGUACAUUUGUUUUGGCAAUGCACGAGGGCGUUGGCUGUAUGGACGCAUUCGUCGGCACGAAAGGGCUGCGCUUCGCUUCACCCAUCGGCAUGGAAUGAAAGGACCAAGCCAGAAGACAUCAUAGUGCAGAUGAUUACCAAGGCCAGGCCAGAACACAGAAAGGGCAUUAGGACUAUGAUAGUAAUAAUCACGUCGGAGAUUUGAAAAGAGCGAAAUGAUUGCACUUUCAAAAGAAAGACCUCGGCCGUCAACAACUUAAACAACUCAGUCACAGCAACCAUAGAAUUCUGGAGGCAGGCGGGAGCGGUCUGUUUCGAGCACCCCUUUGGGGAAUCACCGGGAGAAGUUACGUAGGUUCUGGGGAAAUGUUCUUUUUUUUCCUCUUCUUCUUUUUUUCCUUGAUCCUUCGGACCGAUCCCAUUUUGUUGUAGCCCGCCUUUCUACCUGCUUUGUUCAAUAUAUGUCAGCCAGGUGCUGGAUCUUUCAAAAAAAAAAAUCUGUGUGUAAUUGCCACGAUGGUGGUGUUUCCCGGCUGGGCUGAUCUACAAGGUGCAGCCGUAGGAUCGGACAUGUUGCACAAGAGGAUUAAAGCGUGAGUGUUUUGUUCGGCCUAUGAUGGACGGGAAGAAUCGAUUAUGCAAAGGUUUGGGGGCUGUUUACAUCCCCAACUACUGUAUUUGGAAGGAGAUGCAAUAGAAUGUUUUUACAUAUUACACCGUUGGUGGAGCUUCCUGCGGAUGUGGAUUCUCAUUGCAUCAUUCGGGGAUGGUUCGCGGGCGCGCUUGGUGUUGAGAGAAGCGUGGUGCAUGUUGAGGGGGCUCUAUGAACCGUGGCUAGCUCGAAACAACGGAAAGGAACGACAGAAAAAUCGAGGACCCGAGGAGUAUAGCAGAGAGGGUACCGAGGCUGAUUGAGGAGUGGAAAUGCAUCAAGGAGGGCCGGGUGGGUGCGCUGCCGAGCUCUUCAACACAGCGCUAGGAGCAGCCUGCUCAUGGCUGGGUGAAAGCAAAUUGUGACGGGGCUAUGUCUAAAACGUUGAAUUUUGGUGGCCACGGUACGGUUCUCAGGGACCACAAUGGAAUUUUCACAGCAGGAGCAUGCCGUUUUUUUCUCAAUGGCUGCCGAUCGGGAGCUCGCAGAACUGCUCUCCUGUCGACAUGUGAGGACACUUAUAUUGGAGACAGAUUCUCACACGGUGGUGGUCAAGUUAACUGAUCAUGGUAAGAAUCUGUCUGCGUACGGACAUGUGGUUCACGAGAUCAAAACACUACUUUAAACUCUCGACGCGUAUACAAGGUGGUUUUUUUUUUAUACAAGAGCAUCUACAGCCGGACGUCUGAAAUGACCCCUCAUACGUCACGCGGACAUGCCCGCUCAUUGACCGGACAGGAAAAAAAGGAAAAAUAUAAUUCAACCGGACCUCUCAUAUCAUCCUAUACGUCCGUCCUGUUCGCGAAACGUCAUAUCUAUCUUAAAUAUGGGUAGGAUAUAAGGGAUCGCGAACGCCCGGUCAGUCCGUCACAUAGGACGCGAUCCCAUCCAUGACCAUCUUUUUUUUUCUUUAUUCAUUCAUUUCUUUCUCUCUAUUCGUAUCCACCAAUCACGUGCAAUUGACCGGACAUAUAAGAAAAAAAUAAAAAUUAUGGCUGUGUAGACAAACAAAUAGGGGACACGUCCGGUGUCGAUGUCAAAACCGACCAAUCUUAAGUAGGGGGUCCGUGAACAUUUAGGGAUCAUAUUUGUAAUGUCUGGUUGUAGAUGCUCUGAGGUGGGAUGGAUGCAUCUCUCUAUGAAUAGUGUGCCACUUGUUUUGGCUAGGGACCAUUGCAGCUAUAUCUAGACAUGAACAGCCCGGCCCGGCCCGCCGAAAAUCACGAGUUGUGCUCGGGCCGAAAAGUUGAGCUCGUUGGUCACGUCGGGCCGGGCUCGGGCCUAUCGAAAAAUAAAAUUAAGCCGUAGUCAGGCCGGGCCGGUCGGGCCAGUCGUGUUUUUUUGACUUGGGCCGGGUUUGAGCUUAAAAUUCAAGCCCGACGGUCGGGUCGGGUCGGGCUCGGGCCUGGAAUUUUAGCACGUGGCAUUUUCUGGCUCGACCUGGAAAAUAGCCGGGUAUAAUUGCAGCCAUCAACAAACUUUGUAAGACAUGGUUCUAGGUGGCACCAGAGUGUAUUGACUCUCUCUUUAGUGAUUUGCAUAAAAAUGCAACAAUUCCAACUUAAAAAAACAUUGGACUCUUUCGGCACCUGCACACUGGUACAUGACCCGAUUGAUAGUGCGGAGCGUGCUGGCCACACGCCCGUUGUGCUGCCGAUUCCUGGCCAGUUGUCAACAGUCAACACACGUACAUACAAUCAUACAUGCACCGUGCAGGUCACUUUCCACGUACCCAGCAAUCCUCGCAAAAUAGCGUUAAAAAGAAACAAUUGCGACUUGCAAGCCAGGAGUCACGGGACGCAGCUCCUCCGUCCGAAGUUCGAUCGGGAGGGGUGCCUCCCAUCGCAUGCACUUGGCACUUGGCCACUUGGCCACUUGGCCAUGUUUAAUUACUCCCGCCUUUCACAAAGAAAGGGAAAUUUACUCCUGCCAACUUGCUCCGGUUCCGACCUUGCAAUUCUUUUGAACAAAAAUGUUGUGUAAGUUGCACGGAUGGCUAAGUGCAUGAGAGGCAUAUACUACGGAUAUUUUGUUGGACCGUGGUUAUCCCCCAUCCCUCGAACCAAACCAAGAUAUCCACGCCGGUGAAGGCGGGCGGUUUUUUCCGUGGUUUCACGGGGCUCUCAUCUUCAGGUCAGCAUUGUUCACCGCGGCGAUUUCAGGGGGACUCUUUGUCUCCUGGUCGACACUGUUCAUUACGGUGGUUUCGUGGCGCUUUUAUCUCUAGGUCGACAUUGUUUACAAUAGCGUUUCUUAUAUUUAUUUAUAGUGAAAGUAUGUUUUAGCUCUCGAUCAAAUAUUUUUGGAAUGAAUGUUUGAUUGCUAUCGCAGCAGUGGCACUGCCAUGGAAUAAAGUAGAAAACAUUACUAACUAAUCACUUGGUGAUGAUGCUCUCGUUGGUCGUCAUAAUAUGUAAUCUUAAUACUUAAAAUGCAACUAUCAUUUACAUGAAAGUAAAUGAUUUUGAAUCCUUGUUCGUAUAAUCACACACAAUUCUCUUUCAUGAUUCUAUAAUGAUGCUCUUAGUAAAGUUGGUCUUUUUUUUGUAUGACGCUUAGAGCUUUGUACUUGUUUCUUCUUUAUCUUCUAUAAUGAUCACACACAAUUCUCUUUCAUGGUUUGAAAAAAAUAUCAUUUAUACAAAAGUAACUAGCUACAUGUUAACACCCACUUUACUAAGAGCAUCUUCAACAGGCGCACAACGCGCGACGCGCUAAAAUCUGGUUUGCGGCGCGCCCAUCGUCAGGUUUGGCGCGGCGCGCAGCGCUCGCUCC